rnacentral:lncRNA from 1 species
UUUUUUUUUUUUUUUUUUUUUAUAAAAAAGAUGUGUAAGCGGCUUCACUUCCCAUCAGGCCAUCACGAUCCCGAGUUAGGGCAUUGCUUGCGAUUGGGAUUUGAUUGCCUACGAAGAUAAGUCUUUAUACCUGAGAUACCUUUUACGAGGGAAUGCCCGUCCUCACGAUCCAACAUGUGUUAGUGUAGACUGAAGAUUUUGAAAAACAAUUCAAGGGAGUCACUUUGUCGCUGAAAAAACACGAGAAAGGAGGAGAUACAUUCUGUGAUACAGUCUGAGUCAUAGUAGUUGGUGUUGCAUAGAAGGAAUGGAAGGGCUAAGGGAGCUGGAAAGGGUGCAGAGAAUUAUCGAGCUGAUGGAAUCCCAUGGCAUCUUGAACCCCAACAACAACAUUAAUCCUGACUCCAAUCGUUUCCUUGCAAAUUUCACCCACUUCUUGGUAAAUUUUUGCCUUAGCUUUCCCCCAGUUGUCGUCAUUCUUAGAUUUUCUGUUCUCCCAUUUCGUCUACACUCUCUACAUUGAGACUCUUGCAUGUGCUGUCUAGUGAAUUCGGUCCCAACAGGGUACCCCAAAUUGUUGAAAUAAAUUUGUUAAUUUUGGUCUUGAAGUUCUCGAAAUUAAAAAAAGGAAUAAGUAAACAUAAUCCCUUGGUAAUCUUGUAUCUUGUUUGCAUGCCUAGCUGAUAGCUUUAGUGUCUCCCUCUAGUUAGAGCGAAGACGAUGCAGAAAAUUAGUAAUGAUAGGCUUAUGGGCUUGUAGGUUUGUUAAAUGGGCAAAGCCUGGGUACGAUGCUAUUGGAGUUGCGCUUGUGGCGCCUUCUUCUUGGAUUAGACGAAUUCCUGUUGUUGUUCAUGUAAAAGCCGUAAAGAUCAGAACUUUUUUGGUUCCUGUUUAAGGGAAAAGGUUAUUGGUUAGAGCUUGUUUUUAAGUUCAGUUUUUUGUAAGAUUUUUCUGGAAGUGGAUCAGCCUAACUGCACUAGGUAAUGGCCAUUCGCAACGUGUACUGUGACUUACUAGGAGGAUGGGCAAGCUCUUGCAUGGAGUAUAUGAAUUGUUGUAUGAUGGCUUGAUUGUGAGUCAUAUUGUACUGGAUGUGGUAAAUAUGCUGAAAUGGGUGGUUAUGAGUCUAUAAAAGUUAUUUCCUGAUCAACGUGAAAUCUUUGCCGUUAACCAAGUCCGAAUGAACCAGAUAAUAUUAACCAACAAUUUCUCUCAUUAAAGUUUGCGUGUCAUUUUUCUCUUAUUUUCCAUCCAUUAAAAAGUCUCAAUUUGUUUCACCUGUUUGUUUCAUUGUUCUCCCCUUGUGACCUUGAAUCAAUUUGGUGAAGGUUCAAACUUGCAGCGAGCUUGACAUGGAAAUCAAGUGCCAACUGAUUUCAGAGUAUAUGACAAAGGUUACUUUUUUGUGUUGUAUGAUAACUUGCCUAAGCUUCUUUGGGUGAUCUAAGGUUAGAGUAAAUGGGAUGCAAGAACUCUGCUUAUGCUUGUGAUUAUCCUUCUGACAGAUUUCAACUUUAUUUCUGGAGGAAGCACUGCAAUGUAUUGGGGAAGAAGGUAAAGUUUUCCAGUUCUACUCUUUAACAUUUUUUGUUUGUAGGCCAUCUUCUUAUGGAUUGUGCCCUCAGCUUCAUUACACAAUGGAGCUGAGUUUAGGCCAUAAAUGACCUAAAUGAAUCUGAAAAAGAUCGUAUGUAUUGAUUGUCUGAAACUUCUGCAAAAUGUCACUUUAAAUAAAAAAAAUAACUUGGUCAAUUUUGUCCUUUUCAGAUGAUGAAAUUUGCCGUUGAAAGGGGCAAUGAGUUUGACAAUGUAUUCAGGUCUUAUUGUUUGAUGGAAUAGACUUGAUUCUCAUUCUGCUUUUAAUGGAAAGAUAAACAUACAUACAAGUUUGGUAGACAUUCUCAUUUCAUAGACAAAAUAAAGCUGUGCAAACAGCAUGAAAACCAUUUACUUCCAAGUAGCAAAUUUGUGACUCAACGUAAGUUGCCUAUUUUACCAUUAUGAGACCUGAGCUAAACUACUUCUUGGAAGGGAUAUAGGGUAUAUCUUGCGGGUUUAUUAAUUCUUCCUGCAAAUGACUUGGCUGACUAUGUUUUAAUUUGUAGGUAAUGAACAUAUUGGAAAUGCUGUGCCAGUACAUUGUGAUGAUGAGCAAAAUGUUGAUCCAUCACAAGACAACUUCCUAGAUACUGCUGCAAUUGGGCUGGACUCCAUGCUUCGAGCAAAUUCUACAUUGGAAGAUUUUGUAAGCAAUAUUGUUCUUUGUUAUAACCAAACCAUACAAUCUUUAGCAAAAGUCCUUUUUUAGUGCAGAAGGGUUUAAAAUUUAUUCAGGCUGUUUUUACUUUAUGCCAUAUAUGAGGAUCUGCUUGUUCUCGCAAUGGCAAGACUUUUCCUUAAGGAUUGUCCUCAACAUUGUUGGACUGAUGGUAACGAUGAACAGUGUAGGUCAUAUUUUAUGUUUCAUAAGAUGGAUGUUCACCAGCCGCAGUUAAUAUUCAAAUACUUACCAAUACUUUCAUUUACAGAGAGUUACAUUUAUCAGGUAACAGAGCAACAAAAUGCAACUCUCUCUCUCUCUCUCUCUCUCUCUCUCUCUCUCUCUCUAUUUUCCCUUACUAUUUCUGGCUUAUAUUCUGCAUUUUGGUGUGUACAUUAACUUGGGACUCCAUACAUUGUUGGUCCAUUUACCUGUACAAUAGCUGCUCACUGACUUGCUCAUAUGUCCUAAAUAAAAUGUCAAGCUUCCUUACAUAGUCCUCUACCCUUUUUCAGAAUGGAAUACGAUAAUAUCAACAAAUCAUUAUGACAUGAAAAAAAUUGCAUUACUUUUUCCAGUAAAUGUGAAUGUGCCUACUGCUUGGUACCUAUAAAUGUGAAAAGUUGUGACAGCAAUUGUUCCAAUUUUUAGCUACUAUGAGUAAUGUGUCAAUUAUGUACCUGAAUAGCAUAGUGAAAGCCAACAUUAACUUUAAAGUAUGGGAAAGAACUCUUCUAUAGGGAUGAUAAUCAGCACAUAGGUCUAAUCAUGUGUUGUGUAAAUCUGCAAGUCAAACUGGACUGAGCAAGUUCUACCUUAAGACAUCAUGCUAACUCUGAUUACAAGGUUUUGGAGGAUGCUUGAUUUUCUUUUCUCAGAUUUUGGGCUAGACAAAGUGGAAGGGUAUGAUAGCUGUAAACAGUUCUUUGGCUUGGUUCAGUUAAAGUCAAGUUUCAACAUGCUGCACGAUUACAAUUAGUUUUCUCGACAAAUAACUGAUGCUGUUAAAAAGGAUUUUAGUUCCAUAAUAUGUUUCAUUCUUGCUUCCUAUGAUCUUGAUUUUGAAUUUACAGUUGGAUACUUUGAAUGAGAAGCUACUUCAGUCACCAGCUUACGGAGUUCAGCUUGGGGAAAUAGAAUCCUAUGUGGUAAAACCGCAAUUUAGAAGAUCUUUGUACCACGUUAUUUUCAGGAUUUAGGUUAAAAGCUUGAUUUUCACUGUCCUUUGGUGCAGGGUUGCCAAACAGAGGGAAGAAGGGCAAUCAGAUCCUUGAAGAUGUUGGAAGCUGACCCAUUUAAACCACUUCUUAUCCUACUUGAGCAUCAAGGCCUUCUCACGGAGCGGUCUAUAGCUAUUUCUGUUAUGAUUUUUGUAGUUUCCUUUAUGUUCCCUCUCCUCCAUGUGGGUUCUUAAAGAGUAUUCUAAAGGUUUUUAGAAUCGUAAAGGUUAUAUUGCCCCCUCCUUUUUUCAGGAUAAGAGAAGAACUUUGGUCUGGGGUAGAGUACUGGAGUCUUGAAAGAAAACUAUGUUGUCAUCCCUUGAGUGGAAGUGAGGUAAAUUUAACAAGUACAUUCUAUAUUUUGACAAAUAAAGUUUUGAGACAUUUUCCUUUCCUUGUUUGACUAAACCGGUGGCAUCAGAUUCUAUAUAGUGCAGAUAUCUGUUUAAUACAUGCAUAAAUUGGUAAUCUAUUGUAUCUGAUUUCUUUAAUUUGAGUAAUAAAGUUCUGCACUUGUGGAGAUUUAUUGCUAUUUCUAGCAUCAUAAGUAGAGAAACUGGCCCCAUGUAUUGCAGCGUUUGUGGGAAAAGAUUGAUGGAAUGAAAAGAGUAUUUCAGGGAGAUGUAAGAAAAUAUAUUUAUUAAAAAAGCAGAGAAAAAUUUAAGAAGUGUUUGAUGGGAAACUUCAAUUUAGUUAUUAAUUUAUUAAAAUACCCCUUGGAAAGGCCCUUUACUUUAAGGGAGAUGUAGAAAGAAUAUCAGUUGAAAACUAUAAUCCUAAAAGAGAAGCUAGGGGCAGAAAACUAUACUUGCAUGCCAAAUAAUGAUUUCUUCAUGGCGCAGAUAAACAUCAAAUGGAGCUUAUAAUUCUAGCUACCAAUACACUUUCUGGUCUUUGGCAGCCUGUCAUCAUUAUUUUGGCCCCAAAGACAUAGAUACUUAAUGAAAGCAACUUUGUUAAUAAGGCUUCCAGUUUGUUCUGAUUUACAAGCUCAGUUCCUAAAACCUAAUACCCACACCAACUCCCCCCCCCCCCCUUAAAAUAUUACCAUGAAAGUGCAUGAUAUUUAAUCCAUUUUGGCUGCAUAAAAGUCAAAUGGUUAUCUGCAAAGUUGUUAUAUAAACCAAAUAUUUAGGAAGAGUAUCCUGACUUGGAUAAGAUGAAUUCCAGUUUUGGACUCAGGGAAUACUAUCUUGCUACUUAUUCUAUUCUUGGAACAUUUUCUUCUCUUAAUAUAUUACAGCAAGAUAUAUAAUAUCAGUAUAGCCUAUUAUCAUCAACAUUCAUCUUUAUUAUAUUUAUAAAACAUACUCUGCACUGUGCAGAGUAGUGUAGGAGAUGUGAUGAGGGCUAUUCAUCUGAAAUCCUUUGAUUAUCGGGUACUUAAUCUGCUGCUGUAUCAAUUGCGGGGUGAAAAGGUACAUUCCUGAUUGGUAUUUGGAAACUAUCUUUGAACUUCCAAUUCUAUUCUGGCCAAAACAUUAUUUUACAUGAAUGUCCUUUCCAUUUCAAGCUAGUUUAUUAAGUCACCAGUUUAUGAAAUUUAGGCCAUCUUUAUCUUUGAUGAUAUGGUUACACGUGUCACUCAAAUACCUACAGUUGCUUAUCUUGCUUUCAAUUUCUGUGACUGGCCUUUUUUAUUGUUUCUUUAUCUCCUAUCUUUUGAUUGGAAUAAAUGCUGUUUAUGGUAAAGAUGAUGAGGGACUCCCCUUGAAUGAUUAAUUUACUCAAACUAUCAAUUGUUUCUUCAGGAACUGUUGUAGGAUGAGUCAUCCACCUUUCAACUUCGUUGAAAGGAUAUGGAAAGGAUUAUGAAUCAAAUGCUUGUGGCAAUGUAAUACUAUUGCUGCUUUACGUUGUAUUUUUCACUCUGGUCUGCUUUCUUUGAAGCUGUUAUGAAGGUGAAUGAAUUGCAUAUGGAAUUCCUAUCAAUAUCAGAGUUCUUGGUUGAGCUAUCCGAUGAUAUGUGAGUAGUUUUCAUGUAAAUCUUAAUGUUUUGUGUAUAAAAAGAAAUGUAUAGUAUUGUUAUUGGCAAGAUAUAACUUUCCAUUUUUGAUGCAUGGGAAGAAGCAUGUGCCAUGCGGUAUCAUUAAUGGAUGACAAUGUGAUGCUGUAGGUUUGACUAUGAGGUAAAUCAUUUUUCUGUUGUUUUUUUCCUCUUAUGCCGAUUAUCCUGAAUAUUAAAGAUUGUUUUUCACUUGGUAGGAUGAUGUGUUGGAGAAUAAUUUCAAUAUAUUGCGCAUGUUUGUCAGAAUAUAUGGAGCUUCCAGGGCACCAACCAUGCUGGUGAGUAACGGUCAUUAUAAUAAGAAUACUUCCGUAAGCUCCGUGUAAGCUUAUUGGAACCCUAGAUUUGUGCUUGGGCUUGUAAUGCCAAAUAUAGUUUUGAGCCAUCCAAUGGCAUUAUUAAUUUUGUGUGGGUGCACGGUGAGUAUUUUUCUGUUUUUGUUUUGGACUAGGAAAAGGGGACUAAACAGUGUCGUUACCCUUAGAUCACGUUGGGGUAUUUCCUUUCUGACCAAUAGGCUAUGGGAUUAGCUAAAGUUUCCCAUUAUGAAUUUAUUCAUUGAGAGUUAGUUAUAUACUGAUGUGUCCAUAUAUGUAGGACUUUUCUAUUCUACCAUGUAUUCGCAACAUAAUGUUAGUAUUUAACAAGGAAAGGAGAGUGAACAGACAAUCCGGUGAAGUUCUUAAUCCAACUUUUCGUGCUUGGUUGUUAUGCCAUGAAAGGGAAAAUAAAUGGCUGUCCUCAUUUGUAGUCAGAGCAUUCCCUAUGUUAAUUGUGUCAGUCCAACUUAGUGGCAAAUCUUGCAACCACAGUUUUUGCUUCAUAUUUAUUGCUAAGCUAUCAAUACAUGAAUUUUGUUUAGAGUCAUCUUCUUGUUCUUUUUCCACAGGCAAAACGUAUCACCGAAACUGAGGAGAAGUAUGAGAACAUGUUGAAAUCUUUGGAUCCUGAAUUGGCCAUGAAUUAUCAGAAAAGGUGUGAAGAAGCUACAAAAGAAGGUAAACUUCUGGUAAAAUGAAAUUUGUUUUGUACCAAGAUCCAUGCAUUAUUUGUCCUAUUGCCUUGGGCUCUUCUCUUUUAGGUGGGAAGAUAUCGGGUCCUUCUCUUGGGACAUGGAAUAUUCCAACCAUAAUUGAAGACGAGGAUUCUUAUCGAUGCAAAAUCUUGAAUGUUAAGCCAACAACUGUAGUUCAGGCAGAUGUUGACAAGUGCUAUAGUUCAUAAUCUCAAUCUAAUGAGUCUGCCUAAAUUGUGUAAAAUUGAUCCGGGACUAGUUACACUUACUGUAGACUGACUUGGACACAGAAAUGGUUCUUGGUAGUUUCCCAGAUUUUAACCUAGAAGUGUUUAUGUUUUCCUGCUGAGGAAUAUUGGGAUUUGGGGGACUUGGAUGGCUGCCUUUGUAUUCUUUUUCCAAACGUUUCCAUCACUUGCUGUUUUGUGGGUGAUGAAGGAUUAUGGGAUAAAGGAUUCUUGGACUUGGUAACUAUGGAAUUAUCAGUUGAUUAUCCGGAUGGAGUUUUGGUCCAGAUUUGCAUCCCCAUUGGAUAUUCAAAGAGAAACAGUGAAAUAUGUUUUCAGAACGAUCAUGAGCUUCUAUGGUAUGACACUGAACAAACGAUUGUCCAAAAUGGGCAGUUUGGAUGGUGACCCAUUUAUGAUGACUGGAUAUCAAUGCCUUGCCAGCCUCGUUCAGCCAAGCAAAGGAGUCGAGCGCAAUCCUCGAUUUUGGGAAGGAACUGAUAAAGAAAACCUCCCAAGAUCCCGCAGAAUCGCUUACUAUGGAAGUCAAGAAAAGAGGAAGAAUUUCACAAUCACGGCUUGCUAUCAAAAUGUGCUAGCUAGCAAAUUAUCUGUAUAACUGCAUUGGAAUGUUUUUGGCAGUGGUUUGUUUCCUUGCUUUCGUGCUAAGCUUUUACAAUUCAACUAUAUGUUUUGUGCUCAGAUGAAGUAAUCAACUUCAGUAAAAUUUAGAAGAUUCUUCCUUUGACAAGAACAAUUAUAGCGUUCAAUUCAUCCCCUGUUCAUAUCAGAAUAGAAAUGGAUAUUUAUACAAGCUACACUUAACGUGAAACAGCAAAAAGUAUUGUUACUAUCAUUUUUUUGCCACGUCCUGGUCAUUGUAUUAUUAUAAUACUUCAGAGGGAUAAUUUCAGAAACCUCCCCUGAAGUUUUUAACAAUGGCAGAGACCUCCCCUCAAGUUUAUUCAAUUACCCUUACCUAUCUUGCUUUUACUGUUUAUAUAAUAAUAUAGAUACAAAAGGCUAUUUUUUUUUCUCAAAAAUCCUGAACUACCCUUUUUGUACAAAAAUAAAAUAAAAAUUAUUUUGCCAAUUAUUUUCUUAUAUAUUUCAACCAAACCCGCUAUACUAACAAACUAGCCUAGCAAAUAAUCUAAUUCCAAAUUCUCAACCUAACCAAUUCCAUUAUCAUAGGCAUGGAUGGGAUUAAUCAAGUUUAAAAGAAGGAAUGCAUCAUUAUGACUAUAGAGAUCUUCAAGAAAUUCAUUUUGCCAAAAAAUUAAAAUUUUAUUUACAACUAAUCACACCGCAAACUUCAAACCCAAUGUCCACAUAUUUUCAAAACAAAAUGAUCUUUUUAACUAUCAAAUCUCCAAACAUGUUAACAUCUUAAAUACAAAGAAAAAACUCCAUCUCUAUAAUGAAAUCACAACCAACAAUUAUCAAGUAUAAAAAAUAUAUAUAAAUGUACUUAUUAACAUCUUAAAAAGUUUUUUGAAUGGAUGAUAGACAAAUUAACAAAUUUACCAAUUUCAGCCCCUCUUCCUCUUUUGGGCAAUGAUUGCAUUAAUUGUUCCAUUAUUAUUGUGUGUCUCUUCAUCUCCUUUUAGUUUGACAAUGAAAUUGAAUUUUACUUCAACCAUCAAAUCUAAUCCCUCAACUAAACUUGUGAUCUGGCAAUUCUAAAGAAAAGAAAGGAGGAAUAGGAAUAUAUAGUAGAGUUUGAGGGAUCACUUGUGGUAUGAUUUGUUGCAGUUAUAGACAAGGGUUGGUAGUAAUUUGAGAGCGAGUUAUAAGAUAAAGGGGUUGAUGGAUGAGAACGAAGUGAUAGUAAGUGAGAGAAAAUCAUCGUUAAUUGUAACUUGUAAAUAGGAUAACCGAAGAGAUUAGGUUUCUUAUUCUUUUUUUUUAAUCUCAUUUCAUUAUAUUGUGAAUUAUUUAUUAAGUGAAGGUCAUUGUAAUCAUUUUAUUGUGAUAAGGGAGGUUAGUAUAAUUUGUCAAACUUGAGGGGAGCCGAGUGAAAUUAUCAUAAACCUCAGGGGAGGUUUGUGAAAUUAUCCCUACUUCAUAUUUAAAGCCUCAUCAACCUGACAGACGUAAUUUUCUUCAUCAAAUAAUUCUCAUUUGAUGGAAAUGCCUAGAUUAUAUGUCUAUUUCAUGGUAAACAAGUAGUUUAUUGAACCCAGGAUUCAUUUUUAUUUAUUCAUCAUCAAGAAAUGGCAACCGUUUAUUGGCACGGAAAGGGUUGAUUGAGUUUCUGGCUCUUUUUUUUUUUUUCUCUUUUGACCGAACACGAUAGAAUCUAAUUUAGACCUACUCUUAUUCUAUGGUAGGGGAGGGGGUGACUCAAAGCCCAAGUAGAGCCUUAAGACUCUCUUGGGAUAGUGGAAACAGCAAAUGUAGUUGGUUGAUUGAGUUUCUUUCUAGAGUAGUUGGUUGAUUGAGUUUCUGGCUCAAGCUGGUAUUGUUUUCAGUUGGGUACAUUUGCUGUUUCCACUCUCUUUUUUCCGGAAUCUUUUUUCCCCUGGGCUCAUAUUAUGUGAGGCCAGUGAUCAUCAUUUAACUAAAGUAUAUCCAGUGGCUUCUUCACAUAUUUCUUGAUUUAAAAACUAUAAUGGAUGGGGUCAUAAGGGACUGAACCCUGCUCUUGAUCAUCCAUGUUCUGCUAUUUGGACUUAUCCAAAAGGCAUCUUUCAGCACCAGAAUGACCAGGAGAGACCAAAUGCAUGCAACAAGCCUGUAUAGUGAUGCGGCUGUGAAGCCUGUGAUAUAAUGAAUCACAGGUUUCGAAUCUUCUCCUACCAUUUUGGCUUUUUGACAUGGCCAACGCUGCAGGGAGCCACGUUCCUUAUCUUUUCUUUGACUUGUAAGGUUCUAUCGGCUGUUUGUACAUGCAAGUUUAUAAAGUUCCAUGUAGAUAUGGACAUACAAACUCUCUCUCUCUCUCUCUCUCUCUCUUCCUUUUGGGUCAAGUGACGUGGGUUCUUGAAGAGCUUAGAAUGUAAUCCAUGGAUUAGGUUAGUCGACUAUCAUCUAGAUUUGGUAUAAUUCUCAUCACUUGUAGCCUCCAAUAUUCAUGUGGUACCAGAUGGGUACAAAAUCAGUGGCAAUACGAAUAUGUAGACAAUUGAAAAAAAUUUCUAGAAGAUUUAUAGUCUAUUUGCAAUUAGCGACCAAACUUGGUGCAUCCAUGUCGUCAUGAUGACUAAGUUAAUGAUAUGCUUUUUCUGUCGCAUGUAAUCACCAUCAGAGGUUGAUGCGGUAAGUAGAAUCAUUAAGUUGAAAUUUUUAACCAGCUUGUCACUUCUAGAAUAAGCUUGAGCUAUUUGCCAUUCAAUCUUUUAUAAGUCAUGGUGAUUCGGUCCCUCCCCCCACCCCACCCCCCAUUUAGGCAAGGAGGGUGGUGGGUAGGGGUUCAAAUUGAAAUUGGAUUUGGUAAGUGUCCAAGCUUGUUAGAUCUGGCCUGCUUAGAUUUUUUCCUUUUGAUAAAAGAAAGUUUGGAUGAGCUCAACUUCGAUCACCAUUACGGAUCAUGACAUGUUUUCAAAAUCAUAGGUUAUUUAUGUAAGUUCUUAUGGAUGAUGGUUCAUUGACACAGCACUCAAAUCGAUAGCAGAAUUUGAACACACGAUCUUUUAUGAGAAAGUAAUAUAUUUUUAUCAACUGAACCAACUUAUAUUGACUGGCUCUACUUACAUGGGAAGGUUGUGCUGGGAACAAUGGUUUUUGAUGAUGAGAAUGUACUAAAGAAUCAAGACCUGUGGCUUCUGAAUAGAAAAAAUUGAACAUCUCUACCGUGUCUUCUUCUCCAACUCCUCCUACGCAUCCAAAUCAGUGGACCACAUUUAGUAUAUAUCACAUACCCGUAACCAUAUAGACAUCCUCUUUUGAUUUUGCAGUUUUCCCUUAAACAGAUGCUUCUAUUCAGAGUACCAUCCAGUCUACAAAAUCCCGUGUUUUCUUUAAUCUUGAGGGUCCAUUCCACUCAAGUUUCAUUUUUAAGCAUCUCAGCAUUGUAAAGCAAUCAAAUCACUAUAAAUCAAUGAGAUGUCUUUAGUGGGUAUUUUUAUUAAUCACUUUGAUUUGGUGCAAAUCAAAUGACUUUUGCCGAAAGAAACUCAUACCUACUUUCAAUAAAUUCAAAGACGUCUAAUCUUGCACAAGAUAUCUAAUCUCUCACUCAAGAAGAUUAAACAUACUUUACAAGAAGUCAAUGCUCAAUAUUUCAUGAUCCAUUCACUUAAGGUCCACUGGCUUAGACAAUCAGUGAGCAUAGACAUGACAGAUUUCUUGCGGAUUCAACAUGCUGUCUAUUCUUCUACGUGUAGCUAUCUGGUUACACAUCCUUCCCCUUUCUUCUCAAGGAGUUUGGCAGGAAACUGUAAGUUGCAAAAACCAGUUUGUUAAGCAGCUUCACAAAAUCGAGAAGCAAAAACCAGUUUGUUAAGCAGCUCAAUAGUUCUUUAUUUGCUGAACUCCAAGAAACUCAGAAAGAGGCCAAAAGUCAGGCAGAGAAGAGCCAUUGUAUUAUUGCUGUGAUAGAAAGUUUUUUUGUAGAAGAGCAGUAUCAUAUGAAGCCAGCACACGCAUCUUAUAUUUACAUCGUAAAGGAAGCAGAAAAACUUCAUACAAGCAGUAAUACAAGCAGAAACUUUGGUACCAUGACCCAGAAAAACAACCAUAAAAACUCUACACGCAGUUGAGCACUAACUGACAUAUAUCAACUUCAAGGAGAUUGGGGCCAGUCAUAUCCAGCAUCCAUUGCCUCGACAUCAUCGUAAAACCACAUUUCAACGUCCUCGAUUUGUUGCUCAUCUCCCCAAUAGCCAUCACUUAUUUCAUCAUAAUCAUCGCCCAUGCCAGCAACAAAAUCCCAGGCUAAGUAGCCUGAAGAACCAGAGUAAUCUGAGCAACUAUCCCAACCAUUCAUAUCAUAAUAAUCUACAACAUUGGGACCAACAAGCUUCAAUCUUGGGAAUUUCUUCACAAAGUUCUCAUCAAGAUUUACAUUGAAACACCCUCGCACAUCCAGUAGUUCUAGCUGUCUGCAGUUUGUAAGAAUCUCAAUCACACUGCUUGUGCUUACAAGCAGGUAAGCAAUCUCAAGAUGCUUGAGUUUGGGCAUUGUUGAUGCAAUGGCAAGUGCUUCAUCAUCUUGGGAGAGUUUGUCAAUCACCUCUAGUGGGUGCAUUAUUCGACGUAACCCUGUGAGAAAUUUGCAGUUCUUUCCUAUUGCUUCGAGUGCUUCUGCUCCGAUCUUUAUGCAGUAGCUCAAAUCCAGAAAAGUUAAAGUCGAGAGCAUCGCUGCAACUUGUUCCACUAUUGAGUGGCUAAUUUGACUUCUUGGCAAUCGCAGCGUCUGUAAACAUUUAGCACUUGCAACCACACAAAAAGAAAUGUCAAGAGACCCUUCUACAUCAUAGUGCAACACAAAAAAGCUUUUUGAAAAAACUAAGAGUUAAGGGCUCUUGCCCAGUACUCAGAUUUCAAUUGUCAAAACACUACCUUGAUUCUUCAUAUAAAGCUGCAGCUUUUUGUGAAUUUUAACAACUAUGGUCUGCCUUGGCUAAAAGGGUACAACAUUAGGGGGAAUAAUGUGAGAGUAACAAUUACACAUCCACUAAUGACGGCUUAUCUCUGAGACUCCAAAACAACGAGUUAUGACUUCAUUACACAUAUCAAUUGUUCAAGUAUGUUCACCUUCUUGCAAUUCAGUACCACUUGCAAAUUGACACCCAGUGCUAGUUUUGAACUCUCUUAAAGGAUUGAGAAACUAAUAUGGUCAAAAAGAAAAAGACAGAGCACAGACAAACAUUUAAGCAGGACAUUAGAAUUCAGAAUGUCUAACUACUAGAACCCAUUUUGGAGAUUCACAUGCAGUCAACUAUGUCUCAGCUCCAGAAGAACCAAAAGAAACUACAAUACAUUUUUGCUGGUGACUAAAAUAAGUUGCACUCUGAAAAUUUUUGCCUUCUGAAUCAAGUGUGGAAACAUGGUAAACUGGAUGCCAUUCAAUGAUGAACAUUGUAUUGCAAAUGCAAGAAUAUAAAUACAGUGAUUGGUUACUCACUGGUUAGCGAUAUAUGCAAAGCUCAGAUCAUUGGAGAUGCCAGAAACACAUAGUUUGCGAAACGAACCACAGCUUCUCGUGAUGAGCAACUGCAGCAUUUGAUCGAUGUUUUCAGGACUACAGUGCUGGCUCCAUUCCUCAAUGUCAAUCUCUUGCCAACAAUAAGGCCCCAUAACUGCUUUCCUCCAUGAUUUGCAAACUCCAGGAACCACAGUAAGUAUCUCCAGAAGGGAGAGAUUUCUGAAUAUUAAACCAAGUGUAUCAGGUAUCAGUUCAUCCCACGGUCGAAAAUCACAUCCCUCCUCCAUUCUUUUCACAGUCAAACUACUGCACAACACAGCAAGGUAAAGGAUUCCAAUCUUUUAGUCCGACCUGAAAAUCAAAAGUCUACAUUUAGAGUCACUAAAAAAGCACCUAAAUUCGGUUUACGCGACAAGUAUUUACAUGGUCUAGAACCCCAAAUAAAUCCAAUUGAAGAUCCAUGUGGUCUUCUGGACUUACUCUAUUUCACCCAUUGAUGCCCACAAGUGGCAAGAUUCCAAGGAGCUUAGAUUUGGGCAGGAAAAAGUAUAUGAAUUCAGGAAUCAUGAUGCAUGUCACAUGCAGAGCUUCUAAUCAUUAGCAAAUCUGCAGAUUAAUUCCAAAAGGGAAAAUUAGAAUUGCAGAUAGAAAGGUAAAAAAAUAUAAGAAACAGAACACAGAGUGACAGACAUUAAAACCAGUACACAGGCGGCAAAAAAAGAAAAGCCACCACCUUUGCAGAAAGAACUCAGGACAACAGGCUAAUAGUCCUGGAGAAAGAUGAUAAAAAUUCAACACCGGAUGACAAUACAAACCAUGUCAAGAACUAAAUUUAACCAGAGAAGCUACUAAAUUUAAUCAAUGCCUACAUCGGCAAUAACAAAAUUUAUGGAAAUGGAAGAAAACCUCUGAUUACACAAAGCAAUGGAGAUUGAUUAUUUUUCACAUGGAUUUUGUACGAACUCACUGAUACGAGGAUCAUUUUCAUUGAGAGCAGCAUGAAAUGUUAGGCACUUAGGCCCUGAAUGAUACAUUGGGAAAAACAAAAAAAUAAAUAAGGGGUUCGGCUAAAAAGAGCAGGAAACACAUGCCAAAGUAGGAUAUGGAUCUGUGAGGAGACCGCUUUAUCCGCCUAAAAUGCAGGGUGGUUUUAUAUCUUUACAAAGACUCUUCUUUUUCUUCCUCUGAAUGUGAGAGAGAGAGAGAGAGAGAGACUAAAACAGAGCAAACAAGAAAAUAUGAAAAAACACUCGGAUAUUCUACCCUUAAUACCUUCGUUUUAAAGAAAGUGAACAGUAAAAAAAUGAGGCAAUAUCUACAGAUUUCUUGAUGGCCCUUCAGUUAAAUGUUUGAUGAGGCUGAUUCUAGGCAAGUUUAUUGCUUUUGUUGUGAAAAUGGAUGGUCUAGUAUUUUACUAGCAUAAUUGCUAUCAAUGUUCUGGCCCUUGUGGACUCAAGAGUGGCAUUUUUCCUUUUUCCUUUUUUUUUCCCUUGCACGUUUCUUUUUCGUCCUCUUUCUUUGUCUUUUCAAUCUCCUUUCCUGUUUUUAGCCAUGAGUUUUGUCACAUCAAUUCCCUUGAUGAGGAAAGAUUUACAGGAUCUUCCAGCUAAGAGGGGCAGUAAAUGAAGAAGUGAUUGCUAAGCAAAGAAUCUCCGGUGACAGAAUUUGCUACUGCUCCUGCUUCUGCUGUUAAUUGUUAGCACUUUAGUACAAAGUUCUGUAUCCCUUUCAUUUGCCACAUAGAAAUCGCCUAGAAUGAAAAAGUCUUUCGAUUUGUCCAUUUCAUUCUUAUGUUUAAUACAGAUUUUUUAAGUUGAAAUAAAGGUCUUUCUCCUCCAAAGCUCAUUCUAAUUUUUUUUUAUAAAAAAUGUAAUCCAGUCAUAAAAUUCUAAGAAAAACUCUUUUUGACUUGAGAAAAAAUAGCGACAAUUUUACUUUUCUUUUUUUCUCCGUUAUGUCUUGUUGUUACUUGUUAGCAUCCAAGUACUUGGAAUUUUGUUGUCAUGUUGUUUGUAGAAAAUUGGUAACGUUUGACAUUUGGAUUAAUUGCAAUUUGUGUUUAGAUUGAGAUGGCAAAGAAGGCCUAACAUAACACAACACAACAUCAUUGUCUGUUUUCAAUAAUCUUUCAUUGGAGGCAAGCUUGCAACCAAACAUCCAAGUGAGCUGAGAAUGCCAAUUGAUGGUUGUUGGAUGUGUGACCAAUUCAUUUAGCUGUAAUGAUAUGGUUGAGUUCAAUUGUCAUUUUUCAUAAUUUGUAAGUAAUGACAAACUUAAGGGGUCUCAACUGUGAAGGGUGAGCCUCAGCCUCACUGUAUAGGGUUACAGUUAAAGGUGCCUCGCUACCAUGAGUUUCAGUUCAAAUCCACUGUAAAGCUCCCACUGGUUUUUUUUUUUUUUUAAUCCCAUUUAUGUGAGAUUCAUAAUCACUAAUUAUGGCCGGAGUAAGUGUAAAAUUGUUUAGUUUAACCCCUUUUGCCAAAUUUUACUUCAAGAGUAGAAAGGAAAAAAUGUCACUUCAAUUUGCUGUUUCCUUUUCUUUUUCCUCUUCUAUUUCUUGUCUUAAUAGGACUAGUACUAUUUUUCUUGACAGAAACUGGACCACAAAAUUUAGACGUUGUAUCCACCAAUCCAAAGUCAUCAGUGUUUUGAAAACUAGGCAUGUUUUACUACCAGUCUUCCACCACCAAGUCUUCUUCAAUUUUUGAGAUUUUGAGAAGCUAAAGAAAUUUUUUGCACCUUGAUGGUGGCUUCUGAAGUUGCACAGUUUAGAUUGCCAUUUUUUUCUGAAAUAUUUUUAUGUUUUCUGUGAACACAUUUAGAUUUUUCUGUAAAAACUCUAGAAAAUAACAAUCCAAACGGAUAAAAAGGACAAAUGCGUUAGAGCUUUUAUCAAUAUCAUUUGUGUCUCUAAUAAAACAAUCACAUGCAAAUUAAUCAGUAUUGUUAUUGGAUUAAACUUAUGGAACAAUUUAUCAAGUGUAAUAUUUCGAGAAAAAAUGUAAUAUAUUUCAAGAAAGGACUGUUUGAACAAAAGGUUGAGAGCCAAGCUAGAGGCUACUCCACCAAAUUCAUAUCAAGAAAUGUGUUAUUUUCGCUCCAAAUGCUGACAUAGUUUUAUGCUCAAAAUGUUGUUAUUUGUCAAGAAUUAAUUUUAAAUACACUGACAAUAUACGCAUUAUCCUGCUUGGAUGGAUGUCAUUUCUGAUCAAUUUGAAUUUCAAAUCUAUAUUUUAUAUAUGUGGUAUUCAUUUAACCGUAAUAAUGUAUACAAGAUUUAUUCAUGGGUCAAUAACGACAAUAUAACUUAUCACUUUCAUAUAAUGUGGUCAGAGUCUAGUAUUUCUAUCAAAUGAUAUAUUUACGGUAUCCUACCUACCUAUCGUGCAAGAAAAACAGAAAAUGUGCAAGUCUUAAUUUGGUGUUAUCUUUUUUCCUGAAAUCUUUAUUAUUUAGAAGAAAGUGGAACAUUUUCAUUUAUGAAAAGAAACAAAUUAAAGGGGUUAUUGAACCUUUUACUGAUAUUACAUUUAUUUGCUAAGCGAGUUAAGAAAAGGUUACAGUAACGCAAGACGACAAUGGUAUUUAGCAAUUCAAUUUGGGCCAUUGAUCUUCUGUUUUUGGGCUUGGAGUAUACCGGUUUGGUUCUUCUCCGUCUCAGAUGUUUAUAGUAAAAUUUUAUAUUCAACCCAAUCCAUUGAUGAUAAUAGGACCAAUCGUCUAUAAGCUCCUCUUUAUUAUUAUUAUUAUUAAUUAGGGCAAAUUUCCGUUUGGCCCUUGAACUUUUAGUUUAGGUAAAACUUAACCCUUCAACUAUUAAUAAUCAGCUUUUAGCCCUCUAACUUGUAAAAUAGGGAAUCCGUGGUGCUUUUGGCUAGUUUAUCCGAUUUUACAACUGGAAAGACAAAUCACGCGAAUGGCAGUAUAUUUUAUAGAAGGGUCUUUUUGUCUGCACAAAAACAAGCAAAAAGUCAACGAUGUAUAUCGUAUCCCCAAUCAACCCAAAUCCCUAAUAGAUCUCAACACACGAAUUGCAGAGGGAAGGAAGAGAAAUGUUUGUCAAGAGCAAGCAAGAACACGCAAAUAUCAUAGCCCUCCCCUUCCUAUUUGUCUCUACGGUCAAGUCACAAAGAUGAUUAUUUCGUGGACUGAUAGAAACCCGAGGAGAAAGUACUGUUGAGAAAUGCCAACUUUUCCUACAGAUUUUAUCAGAUUGAGUUUGAUAUCAAAAUAAUUUAGUUAUUAGAAAAAUAAGAAUAUUUGUUAACCAAAGAUCAUGUUGGUUUGUUAACAAAUAUUUUAGCUAAGAUUUGCUAGUAGAAGAAUAUUAUAUUUUGUUGAGAUUUUUAGGAUAAUUGUUAGUUGAAUAUUUUGCUAGUUUGUUUUAUAUAAUCACUAUAAAUAGUGAGUUGAUUAAUGUAGAACACAAGCUCAUUUUUCAUCUUUAAUACAAGUCUCUUAUAAGUUUUUUUUGCAACACUAAAGUGUUGUUUCUUAGUUUAUGCCCCAAAAAACCAACAAAGUGGUAUCAAUAUCCUAUAUCUUAAGGACCUGAGUCUUUUUUUUAGAGUGAUGCAUUGGUGAGGAUCCUUUAUAAGUUCAAAGCUAUGACAGGAAAGAACUUUUUGUCAAAUGUUUCAAUUUUUAGUGGUGAAACUUACCAAUUUUGGGCCAUAAAAUUUUGGACUUAUUUGGUAGUCAAUGAUCUACAAGAUAUGGUGGAGACGAAUUUUGUUUCACCAGCAUUUAAAGAACUGAUGGAUACACAAAUUAGAGACCACAGAGUUGCAGUUAGACAGAGAUCCAAGGCCAGCAUUCACAUUUCAGUUUUUGAUGCCAUUUUCCCAAGGAUAAUGGCUAAUGAUUUGAUUGAGAAUAAAUUAUUCUCAAUUAAAAUAAAAAGAAAAAGUUUCACUAUGAAUUGGUUAGAUUUUGACAAUUCUAAAGUGGAACAUGAUAAUGAAAUCAAGAAUUCAGAUCCUGAAAAAAUUCAGGAGGAGAUCAUUGAUAAGUCAGGACGUAUCAAAUUGAUUCCUGAUAUUUAUCAAGAUUAUAAUAUUACUGUUUUUGAGUCUACAGAUUUUGAUGGUGAUGACAAAGUGAAGAACCAUGCAAAAUUUCAUAUUUCUGUAUAGGUUCAAAUAUCGUCAAAGGAUGUUCCACUUUAAACCUAUGAGAAGGUUAUUUGGAAACAUUAAAAAAAAUCAUCUUUUAUUUGGUGUAUGACAUGAGAAGACAAAAGAAAUGAUUUGUUGCAAGACUAAUAUUUAGCUUGCAUAAAAACCUAAAAGAAGAAGUUCAUUGCAAGGCUAAUCCUUAGUUGCAGAACCUCUUACAAAAGCCUUGUUCAAAACAAGGUUCAAAAAUUUGAGAAUACAAUUGAAAAUCUGCAACAAAAGUGGCAAGGAGGAGUGUUGAGAUAUGCCAACCUUUCCUACAGAUUUUAUCAGAUUGAGUUUGAUAUCAAAAUAAUUUAGUUAUUAGAAAAAUAAGGAUAUUUGUUAACCAAAAAUCAUGUUGGUUUGUUAACAAAUAUUUUAGUUAAGAUUUGCUAGUAGAAGAAGAUUAUAUUUUGUUGAGAUUUUUAGGAUAAUUGUUAGUUUGUUUCAUGUAAUCACUAUAGAUAGUGAGUUGAUGAAUGUAGAACACAAACUCAUUUUUCAUCUUUAAUACAAGUCUCUUAUAAGUUUUUUUUGCAACACUAAGGUAUUGUUUCUUAGUUUAUACCCCAAAAAACCAACAAGUACACUAUUUGCUCACAAGAAAUUGGUGGGUGUGGGUAUUGGGUUUGGAUCAACGAGAAGAUGUGCCGCCGUUCUAUUGAGUUGGUGCCCGGCCUUCUAAGGAGAAUCAAUGAAAUACAGAAGCAUUCAUUUUGCUGCCUAAUUUGCCAUUCCAUUGUUGUUUCAAUGUCAAUGAUACUCUCUUCCUCUUCUCUGUCAACAAAGAUCCUCAAGAGAAGAUGAAGAGGGGUAAGGAAAAAGGGUUAGUUUGAGAGCUUAGUUUAGUUGGAGUAGGGAAAGGAAAGAUAAUGUACUUUGUUCGAUUUUUACUUGUUUUUGUGUGGACAAAAAUACUCUUCUACAAAGCAUAUUGCCAUUCAAGUGAUUUGACUUUCGGAUUGCAAAAUUUGAUAAAUUAGUCAAAAGGGCAACGAGUUCCCUAUUUUACAAGUUGGAGGGCUAAAAGUUGACUAUUAAUAGUUAGAAGGUUAAGUUUUACCUAAACUAAAAGUUCAAGGGCCAAACGGAUAAUUUGCCUGUAUUAUUAUUGUUGUUGUUGUUAAAUAUUUUAUACUAUUUUUCUUACACCAGAAAAAUUUUAAAUUUUGAAUAGAAAUCUUUUAUACUAUUUGAAAUUUGAAUAGAGAUUAUGUAUCAUAAAGGUUGAGGUGCUAGUGUCAAUAAUUUUUUACACUGAUAGUAUAGGAAAGAUCAACAUUUUUUCCCUUUUUGUAUUUCUUAUAUUCUUUUUUUUUUUCUCUUUGAAGCAUCAUCUAUUUUCUGAAAAUAGAAACUAUUUUUCUUCUUGUAUGGUUUUGAUUGCACACAUAUUGGAUGUACAUUGAGUACUAGCAUAUAAUAAAGCGAGAGUAGGAAUUUGAUUUGGUGUAAACAAUUUAGUGUCAUUUUUUGUAAUUCUAAUUUUACCCUUAAAAUUAACUAUUAACCAGUAAACAUGUAUGACACUAAAACUUAACUCCUUAACUAUUGAUACACUGCAAUUCCUUAAAUUCCACAACUCCAAAAUUACUUCUCCACGAUUAUAAACUCCUCUUCACCUAGUUACACGUCAAACUAAACUGCUAAAUAUCACACAACUUCUAAAAAUCUUCAUAUUUACAACUUCCAAAUUCUCGCUCCAUAAAAAAUCUUUUGCCAAAUACUAUAACAAAGCACUUCUCCCGUUACCACACCAUCAUUGUGUCACCGGUUCUAAAUUUUUUUGGUAUGUUUUGUUUAGAGAAAGAUCGUUCAUCAAUCAAUAAUUCUUUUGUCUUUCAUUUUCCUUUUCCUUUUAACCUGAUAUUUCUUUUGUCUUUCAUUUUAUUUUUCUUUUCAUCAAUCUAUUUAUCUGAUUCGAACAACUAAGGGGCUGCUUGGUUAAAGGGUUUGGGAAUCACAAAAUGGAAUAAAUCCCUUAUUUGUUGCUUGGGUUAAGCCUAUUGGAAUGCUAUUUUUGGAAUCAUUCCUAAAAAAUCAUUCUCGAGUAAAUUGGGAGGUUUUGGACAAAACCCUCAACUCAUUCCCUCAGACAAUAUUUAUCACGGAUCUACCCUCUCUUUCCUCUCCAUUACACGCUGCACAAAACCAGAGUCUUCUUCUUCAUCAGUUUUUCUAUCUCUUCUUCUUCAAUCAAUCGCCACCCAUCACCUUCAUCGGACAUCUUCUUUCUCAUUUCAAAGUCCCAAAUUCAGGUUCACAAAUAGUAGCAAUAGCUUUCCAAGAUCUGAAAGUUUAAACGAGAAAUUAGAUCAUGUAGUAGAUGAUUUGCUUGAAAAGGUUGAAGCUUCCAAGGUGGAAAUUGGAGAAGAGAAGAUUUUAUUGAUUGGGCAAAACAUUCCUUAGAACCAAACAAUGUCAUGAGUGGUGAAGUUCUGGUGAAAUUUUUUGAUUGUGUUCUGGUAAAUCUGAAGGAUCUGCUUAAGUUUGAAAACAAUUUGAUUCUGUCUUUGAAGGAACAAAUCUCAACCCUUGAAGUGAAUUUACGAUUCUUGAAAAACUUUGUCAUCUUCACAAAUAGGCUAUGCAAUGGGUAUGCGAAUAUCGGACUGUUUUUUACUUCUAUUGAAGAUGCUGCAAAUAAUGGUAUUUCGUUCUGGUGUUGGUUGGGAUGGAAGAAAUAGGGAGUCAAAAGUUGAUAGUAAUAGAGACAGCGACAUUUUAACCCUUCAUUCUAAAGCCAUAAAGAGCUGGUGUUUUAUGGGAAAAUAGGUACUCUGUUCUUAUAAAGGAGGAAAGUCAUAAAGAGCUGGUCUUUUAUGAAAAAAUAUGACCAUUGUGAAAGUGACCGCGAUUUGGUUUAUGAAAUUAUCCCAAAAAAAUAGCAGAAUGAAUUUGUUUGUUUUGAAAGUUGUAUAACGGUCGUUAAACUUCAAAUAUUCCUUCCUUAAACUUCAAAAUCUACAAAAUCUCAUAUUUUUGUUAAAUACAAAACCUACCAGUUUUUGGAAUUAUCCCUUUGUUUUAUAAGAAUUGUUAUAUCAGGGGUAAAUUUGAAAUUUAAUCGCAUUUAAUUCUGAAACACUUGUCAAACCAAGCAUCAGAAAUUGGAAUGAAAAGUUUAAUUCCAAAACCAGAGUCAAUGAUUCCAUUUCCAUUUCCGAUUCCAAUAUGUGAAACAAGCACCCCCUAAUAUUUAUUUUUGAACAGAUUGCACAUGCAUCGAGUAUAACUCAAUAACUAAUAUAUAUAAGUUGUUAGCAUUUAAUUUAUUUGAAUAGUGGGAUGAGGGCCCAAAGUCGUGACUCAGGAAGGGGACCAAUUAGAAUUUUGAAAUCCACGUGUGUUGUGUGGAAACGCGGAAACAUAAUCUGGGAAAGGAUGGAGAGUGGGAGUUGAAACUUGGAAGUCCAAAUAGGUCGUAAUGUAUGGACCAGAAUAGGUCCUGUAGACUGGGCAAUAGAGUAUCAGCACCGUCGGUAUAGUACGUCUAAAAGUGAAGCAGAACGCUGUCGUACCGUCUGAAUUUGCAUUGGUAAGGCCACAAAUAAUUGAAGCUUCGUUGUCUAGUUGCCUUUCAGGGCCUACUCUGGACCGAUGAGCAAUCACUAUCAUGUUUUAAAGAAGCCAAAAGUAUAUGACUUCCUUCUGAAAUCGUAUAUAAAUCUAAAUAGUUUCUUGUAUUAUUUGAAAUAGUUUUCAAAAGAAUUAUAUAUUUCCUAUUAUUGGCUUGUUCUUGUAGAUUCUGCAAAAACUGACUAAGAAAAGUGAUAUUUCGUAGAUUUUGGAUUUUAGUUUUUUGGCUACUCUGGAUAAAAAAGCAAACCAAAAACGCCAAAAAAAAAAAAACUGAAAAACCUAUAACCCGGUGACAAUAAUUAAAGGAGGCAAUAAUCCGGAAAUAUGAAAAUAUCCAUUAAUUAACUAAACAUUCAUUAAGUCAUUUCUUUGUGAAGCAGUAUUGAUUUUACCCUCCAAGCAGAUAUGAUACUUAGCAAACUAUUGUUUGGAUUGCAAUUUUUGGAGAAAUUGUUUCUGGAGUUUUGCGAGAAUAUUCUUUGAAAAUAUUAACCUAAUUACCUUUAUAUAUCACAUAUAUCAUAUAUAUAUUUUAAAAAAAAAACAGUGCUAUUUUUUUUUACAAAAACUUUGAAAAAUUUGCAAUCUAGACGAUAUUGAUCAUAUUUAUGCAUGUAGCUUGUUUUUGACAGCACUUAUUUGUUCAUUCCAAUACAUUCCCUAUGUGUGUAGAUAAUAAAAAUUGCUUAUAAAUCAUCAAAUAUGAGGGCAUAACAAGGAUGUCAAGUCAUUUCAUUUGCUGUAGGUUAGCAAUUUUCAGAUGCAAAGAACUAAUUAAAGUUGAAAACAUACCUUAAUUAGUUAAUUUAUGACUACAGUUGGAAUGUAAUAAUAGGUGUCCGAAUGCAGUAAUAUCUUUGUAACAAAGAUAUUGAAUAGAAUGAAGAAUUAGUACAUUAAUUAACUUUUUGGAACGAAAUACCAAAUUUCAUAACUAAAUUAUGACGAGCAUUUUUUAUUGAUUACAAAGAUUUUCUCAAUCAUAUUUACCCUUUAGUUUGAAUUGGCACUUGAUAAAGGAUGAUUGAUUCUUCAUUCAAAUUAGCCUUGUGGACUAAUUGAUGCUCAAAACAAUCAUUCAAAGAUCAUCUGCAAUAGUUUCGGCCUUAAGCAUUUGUAUCAAUUUCGAAGUACAAGCACCACCCUUGGUUGUUUUCCCAUGUAACUUCUUCCAAAUUUUGUGUUUCAACAAAUUGCAAGGAACCAUUCAUUUACAAGGUAUUCUUGUAGUCAAAAGUAAUAAUUUUUGCAACACUUUUUAGAAUAUAAUAUAUAUGUCAAAUAAUUAAUAGAAUAUACGUUCAGAUAAUAGUCAGUACUAAAGAAAAUUGUGAAAAUAUAAGUAUAUCCAAAUGGAGAUGAUAAUUAUAGGUGUAGACGAAUUUAAACAAAUCAAACACUUUAGCAUUUAAAUUUGUUUGAUUAUUUUGUCGAGUUUAAAAUUUGUUCAAAUUUGACUCGGUUAUUUCUCGAGUCGAAUUCGAACAAACUUUUAUCGAGCCAAACUCGAGUAACGUGAACUUUUUAUAUAUAAAUUUCACUUAUGUGCUAAUCGAGCCAAUCUUGAACCAUACUUGAAAGUCUAACAAGUACAAAUUGUUGUUCAAGAUUCAUUUGAUUAGUUGGCAAAUCAAAUUCAAAUGAGUUCUCAUCAAACCAAAUUCGAUUUAAGUAUCAAAUAGUUUAGUUCGUCUUACAGUCCUACUUAUAGUUUUCAUUCGAUAUACAAAUUAAGAAAUUUCUGAAGUUCAGUUACAUCAAAGGAUUACUACACCCAACGGUGAUAGAAAAUAACAGAUGCCGCUUUAAAUGAAGUAUGAGCAAAAUGUAACAGGAAAUAUUACUUACAAGCGCUAAUCCAAAUUCUUGAGACAGAUAUUUCGGUAGCUUCUCAUCUCUUUUUGAAAAUGCAUUUAGCUUGCCAAUUUUGAUUGUCCCUAAUGUAUUGAAAAGAGCACCUUUUCUCGUAGUAUAAGCAUUAACGUUGAAUAUUUCUUAUAAAUUCUUUUAUGUUCGAAUAGUAGUAUUUCCCACCAAGAAAAAAAUUGAUAAUCAGAAAAUACAAUUUUCAACUGUUGUCUAUUUUUGAACAUUUUGGCAUUUACGACCUCAAGUACAGGUGAUUAUAGCAGGUGAAUUCUCUUUGCAAGUAUCUAUUACAGUAUAUAUAUAUAUCCAGUCUUGAACACUGGAACUUGUGGAAAGAAAAAACUCAACUUACGAUAUAGAAUAAUUUUAAAGAAGGAUUAGCUGCAAAACUGCUAUGGAACUAUUACCAACCUGCUAAUACUACCGUUAGAAAUCACAACUUCCCCGAAAGAUUACCAAUUUGCAGCACUCAUACAAUCAAUUUUUUGCACAUUACUCAAAUAAACCUGAUAUAAACUUGAAAGAAAAUUAGUAUAACAAUUACUCGAUCCCUGAUCCAAGAAAUCAAAGUGUUCAAGAUAUACCAAACCUCUAUCUCCUCCCAUUUCCAAUAUCACAAAUUUGGUUUCAUAUUGCUAAUUACCUUUUUACCUUACAUGCAUUAAAUUGUUAUAAUAUUUUUUCUACAAAAAUUUCAGAAAUAGCAAUUCAAACGAGAAUUUUGUGUAUGAUAGCUUUAUGCGUCGUCAUGGAAAGCACUGCAAAGGAAAUGAAAAUUAAAUAGAUAGACAUAGAGGUUCUUUUGUUUUUUUUUCUUUUCUAUAUACAUAUAUAUAUAUAUAUAUAUAUAUAUAUAUAUGUAUAAUUUUGGUAACACUAACAUGCAAAAAGAGAAAUUUGUACUACCAAACUGUCGCAUGACACAAUUAUGCAAAGCUAUGGUACUCUGUCGUCGGGGUCAUGAUAUAUUGAAUGAAUUACACCUGUUUCUUCAUCUACCAAAUCAAUCUUCUCUCAACUUUGUCUCAAAUGCAGUUCCUUUUCCACGAUUAGGAACGUACAACAAUAAAGUAUUAUUCCCAACACUAUUUUUUUCUCUUUUUUUUGCUUAAAACUUUUAAAAGUGAGCUUUUACCUCACUGUUCUGAACAUCUGAUACGAGAAUAGAAGCACUAAAAAGCUGAAGACACUUUCUUCUCCUCGUCCCAAUCUUUCAUUACUGUUACUCUCAUCGAGAAAAGUUUGACCCUAGCUACUAGUACUGCUAGCUAGCAAUCUAGCUAGAGCUAGCCUCAUACCAUAUAGCUGCCCAACAACACAUACUACAGACAUUCACUUCACUUUAGCUCUCCUUCUACAUGAGCUGUGAUCCUGCAGUUUUGGUGGGACUAAUUAAGAUGACUUGAAUGAGAUCAGAUCAGCAAAUCAGGUAAUGAAGAAAGCCUGUGAUUCUCACGUCAUGAAGCUUAUAGUGUGGCAUAUGUAUGGUAGCUUCCACUGACUUGUGUUACUAUAAAUUAUCAGAAUUGUCCGUCAACUAUUUUGUUAGAACCAAAAUAGUCCCUGAACUUUAUUUUUACCAAUGCCAGGUGAACACAGGAUUAAAAUAGGAAAUCUUGACACAACACUUAUUAAAAUGUAAAAAUGUAGAGGUUUGUCAAGAAAUUGACUAUGGAAUUGAAUGAUGUAGAGAGUAAACAAAAAAAAAAAAAAGGGUUUGAGACUUCUACGAACUCUAAUGGUAAUACCCAAUCUUGUUUAACAUGACCUCUUGCUAGUUGCAAUUGCAACAACUGGGAAGUUGUGAGUUUUGAUUAUGGUUUACAGAGGGUUGGGAUGCCAAUUUUAGGGUUUAAUUUAGCUGAAAGGUGCAUUUUUUUGGCUCUCUCUCUGAUUCGCAUUCCUAAUUUCUCAAUAAAUGUCCAGUUGUUUUAAUUCAAGUAAGGGUUAUAGGUAACUUUCCUUUUGUGCCUCUACGUUGACCAUUAUCAGUGCAUAAUGUUUAUAAAUUGGGUCUGCUCAGAUAGCGAGUUUUUUUACAUAAUUUUAUUUACUUACAUCAUCAACACAUUUUUCAACCACUUUUUUAUCUCAUAUAUAUCACAUUAAAAAAGUGCCACGAUACUUUUUUUUUUUUUUUUUCUCAAAACUGAUUGCAAAUAAUCACUACUAUCAAAUGAGGACCACAUUGGUAAUAUAAAUAUAGUUGAGAGACUAAAUUGGCUGCCUAUGAGCUUUAGUCUUGAUUUGGAGUUACACAAUGGAAUGUUGGGAGUCAAAACAUGAGACUUGGGGUAUAAGACUUGUAAAUGUAUGUACUCAUGGAUAGGGCUGCAAACGAGUCGAGUCGAGUCAAGUUUUGGCCUAAUCGAGCCGAGUAUUGACUUAAUUUUAGUGAACUCGAACUCGAGUUCGAGCUCGACGAGCCGACAAUUCAAAGCUCGAGUUUGAGCUCGAAAAAAAUAAAAAAUAAAUAAAAUAAUAAUUUUUUCUUAAUAAAUAAUAAAAUAUUAAGGAUAUAUAUGUAAUUUUACUAUUAAAAUAAAAAAAAUAUAUAUAUACUCGAACUCGUGAGUCGGCUCGCGAGAUAACGAGCUUAAUAUCUUGAGCUCGAGUUCGAGCUUGAUUUCGACUUGAGCUCGAGUCGAGUCGCUUGCGGUUCGUUUGCAGCCCUACUCAUGGAAGUGGGUUGAAAAUUUAUUGUUGAUCAAGAAAAUUUUUAAGGAGUUUUUCUUAGGGCUGCAAACGAGCCGAGUCGAGUCGAGCUUUGAGCUAAUCGAGCCGAGCCUCGACUAAAUUUUACCAAGCUCGAGCUCGACGAGCUGGCAAAUUUCGAGCUCGAGCUCGAAAAAAAAUAAAAAAUAAUUAUUUUAUUUUUAAAAAAAUAAAUAAAAUAAUAUUUUUUUCUUAAUAAAUUAUAAAAUAUUAAGGAUAUAUACGUAAUUUUACUAUGAAAAUAAAAAAAUAAAAAAAAAUAUAUAUAAUAUACGUAAUUUUAUUAUUAAAUAAAAAUAAAAAUAAAAAAUAUAUAUAUAAUAUUCUGAGCUCGAGUUUGACUCGAGCCGGCUCGAGCUCGACUCGAGCUCGAUUAAUAGCGAGCUCGACUCGAGCUUGACCCGCUCGCGAGCGGCUCGAUUCGUUUGCAGCCCUAGUUUUUCUCUUCAUAGGGCAGUAUCCAUGCUAUCCUAGUAAAUAUAUAAUUAGUUAGAGAAAAAAGGCCCAUGUAAACUAGGGGGAUGCACUGGCAUACUCUCUAGACCAAACUAUGAAUUUUAUUGACUGCUGGAUGCAGUUCAGAGAAGGAUUUCAAAUUUCUCAUGGCAGCUAAUUUACCUUUAACAAGUUAUUUAUGAAAAUCCUUUAGGAGGUAAACCUAAAUAAUCUUUAUAAUCAAGCAACUAAAAAUGUUUUGAACCAUGGCCAAUACAGGUUUUUUAGAGCUUGGGCCCGUUUAAUAGGAUAGCAUUUCCACUAACAUGCAGUCACCUAAAACUAUAAUCAGGUGUUAACACCGACUUACACCUAGUCAAAUCUUUGUAUUUUUUGAAGCUUCCUUGUCAAAUCUUUGUUAGCUGCUGAAUUAAUGGGAGCAUCUGUCCUAUGACAUCUUCUUCUCCGAGCGUAAUUUACUAUGCAGCAUUGGACUUUACGGACAAAAUUCUUGGGUAAUUGCAGUUGCAGGAAGUAUUUCCUCCACAUGCAGUUCGUUAUAUACAGUGGAAACUCAUCAUUUCGUCUACAACGAACUACUGAUGAAAGUGUGAAGGAAAUUUAAUAUUGACGUACCGUUUUUGAGGAAUAAACGGGGUCGGUCGACCAAUGGUUUUUUUUUUUUUUGGGUUAAUCACAUUUUAUCCCCUUAAAGAAUACCCAAUUUCUCAGUUUACCCCAUAACCUUUAAUUUUGCUCACUUAACUCCCUUUAGGACAAAAUUGCCCUUGCAUUAUUUUGACUUUUCAUUUACCGUGUUUUCCUUUCUUUUAUUUCUUUUUCUCUUUCUUCUUUAUUUAAUUCUUCCUCUUUCCCACAAAAAUCUUCACCUUAAUGAUUGAAAUUAAAAAAGAGAAAUUGCAGAUAUCUAUCUUCUUCUUAAAUGAUUAAAAAAAAUAUUCAAAUCACUUUCCUAAAAUACAAUUUUUUUAGCCUUUCAAUUCUUUUAAUUUUAGAUUUUUCUCUUUCCUUUCUAGUUUCUCAUUUUAUUCCCAAAAAAAUAUCUUAAGAUUAAAUUAUGACCUGAUUAAUAAUCAUCAAUUGAAAUUUGUGACAUGUGACAUUAUACAAAAAAUCAAAAUUAGUUUUUGAUGCCUUUUAAACCUUCACCCACAAAUAUGCAAUUACAAACUCAAAACAAAAAUUUUCGUUGAAAUGUAAUUUCUAUUGGGAAGGAUGAAAGAGAGAAGAAAGAGAAAAAGAAAUAAAAUAAAGGAAAACAAUUUCAUCUUUUGAUACUUUCUUGAGAAUAAAAUGAGAAACUAGAAAGGAAAGAGGAAAACCCAAAAUUAAAAGAAUUGAAAGGUUAAAAAAAUUGUAUUUUAGGAAAGUGAUUUGAAUAUUUUUUUAAUCAUUUAAGGAGAAGAUAGAUCUCUGUAAUUCUUUUUUUUUAAUUUCAAUCAUUAAGGUGAAAAUUUUUGUGGGAAAGAGGAAGAAUUAAAUAAAGAAGAAAGAGAAAAAGAAAUAAAAGAAAAGAAAAUAAGGUAAAUGAAAAGUCAAAAUAAUGCAAGGGCAAUUUUGUCCUAAAGGGGGUUAAGUGAGCAAAAUUAAAAGUUAGGGGGUAAACUGACAAAUGAGGUAUUCUUUAAAGGGAUAAAAUGUGAUUAACCCUUUUUUUUUUGGGGGAUGCCCAACAACAUUAAAGGGUCGUGGUACUUUCUCAUAUGCUGAUGCCAGACUACAAUAAUAAACGGUUUUACCAUCUAUCUGUCUCACUAUCUUCUCCACAUAAAUGCAAGUCCAGCUUCCCUCUGUACUUGGCUAGCUAGCCACUUAUCAACACGAAAUAAGAGAGUAAACGAGUCUAAUUAAGUUGAAUACAAUAAUGUUGAAACAUGUUUAAUUAUUUUAAUGAAUUUAAAAAUGCAAUUCAAAUUUGACUUGACUAGUUGGUGAACCAAAUUUGAACUAAUACUUAUCAGCCGAAUUCAAUUCGAACAUUGAAUAGUUUGAUUCAUCUUUUAACCCUAAACACAUAUAAUUAUGCCAAUUUUGUGCAUAUUUGUGAAAAAGCCAUAUCCCAAAGUUGAUUGAAGAAGGUAAAUCUAAUUCAAAUGGACAUGGAUGAUUCAAAUGUUAUCCUUAUAUUUGCUGAUCAUUUAGAUAUGUGUAUUUGGUGAUCAUAUAUGUUGUAUAAUGUUUGAUGGUUUUUUUUUCCUUGUCAUUAGCGCAGAUUUGAAGCAAUGAGAUUAUUAUUUCCUAUGUUUUUGGCUAUUUGAACUAAAGUAGUAACUGACAUCCCACCUGUAAAAUCUGUGGCCGAACUGAUUAUUUAAUUACCUGUCUGAGUUCAUGACUAAACUUGGAUAGUCAACAACUCGUUACAUUUGGUCUCCACCAAAAAAGGCUUGCUGGUCCAAUAGGUCAUGAAAACUUUUGGGAACAAGUUUUUAGAUAUGGUGAAAUUGGUUAAAUUCCAAACGAGUCAAAAUGCUGUACUAAACUACUACAGCUUUCUAGUAUUUUUUAGCUGGAUUUCACUCCUCUCUAGUGAAUUUUCUCUCAAUUUCUAACAAUGCAUGUUCUGGAGAAAGAAUCCAUCAGAGAGAAGUCAAAUCCAGACGGGUGCACUUGGUGGUGGUUCAAUCCCCACCUGCCCCUCAUAGGCCCCCCUUAGAUAGAUUAUGAUAGAGUAGGAUACAGAUAAAAUAGUGACGAAUGACAAAAAAAAGAAGAAGAGAGAAGUCAAAUAAAUUUUAGCCACCGGCCAGGGUCACUCUUAAGGGUGUUUCAGUUUGCAGUGAUCUUUUCAAUGUGAAUUGAGUUUAACGUUGUGUUGUACUUUACAUUAAAGAAAAAAAAAAAGGACCAAUUACACCACUCUUGUAUUAUAACAAAAUCUUGGAACCAUGUUUUGCUUUGAUGUAGCAGUACCAUCAAUUAUGUGCUAAUCUAGUGCUUGAUCAUCCUUCUUCCCAGUUAUCAUUUUCAUUCAAAUUUAACUCCUUUUUGAAACCUCCAUUGCUGUCAUGAGACAAUUGAUAGUAGUUGUUACCCUGCAAUGAUUGCGUUCUCCAGUACAAAUUCAAAGGUGUGUUAAAAGCUGAAUAUGAAGCAAGAAAAGCCCCCAUGAACGGCUUUAGCUAUGUUGGUGUAAAAAAGGCAAAAUGGCAUCUCUUCUCAAUUAAGCUAAGAGAAUGCAAAUGAGUUAGCUGAAAAUGACGUGUGCCCAGAGUUUAGAUUAGAGGGAGGGAAGGAGGGAGGGAGGCAAACCUUAGCGUUGUUGAAUGUAAUUAAUGCAUUUUCUUGGGAUGGACUGCGCAAGAAGAAUCGUUUUCAGACAUGAAAGAGCCAAGUCAUCUUCCCCCUUAUUUGAUUCCUUCAAUCCAAAAUCUAUCGCAGUCAAACCCUCAUGUCUCCUGUUUCUACAAACUCAAAUAAAAGUCAUGUGUCCUCAUUAAAUGAGAAUUUUAACGACUCCCUCUCAUAAUAUUUAUAGUGUGCUAAACCCCUAUGGAUAAUGAUAUACUUCUGUUUAUCUGCAUUUUGUUGUUGUAAUAUAAUACAAAAAAACAUGCUGUUUGGAUAGAUGAUUAUUUGAAAUUUUUAAAAAAAUUAUAAUAUAUUAUUGCACGUCUAAUGAAAAGUGAUUGAAAACAUAAAAAAAGAUUGAAAAAUAUGUUUAUGAUUUGGUGAUUAUCCCUUAAAUGCUUUAAACAAAUGGUAAUGCACCAAAAAAAAUUAUUGUAUGUAUGUCUAAAAUUUGAAAAGAGAUAUGUUCAAAUUUGAUGACAUCUUCCUUCUUUUUAAGGGAUAGAUAGACAUACACGCAUCAAUGAUUAUAUAUAUUUAUAAGAAUUAUAGCUUCAAGUUCAGAAUUUGCACUAAAAAAUAUAUCUCUUUCAAGAAAAAUAUGAAUGCCAUUCCAAGACUAUAUAUUUUUCCUGAAUAUAUCAAGCUGUACACUAUCAAUGCAAAAGAGCAGAUAGCUGCAACACCGCAGCCCCAACCUUCGCCUCCCAAAUUCCAACUAGUAGUAUAUCAUAGGCUGCUAGUGGCCAAAUCUCAGUGUUAGUAAAGAAAUGAGCAGUGACUAAAAGUCAUUCUUUUCUGCUGCCAAUCUACCGAGUUUUGUAUCCUACUUCUCGACUUGUUCUUUUCACUCUUCUGCCUUCUUUCAGUACUGGACCUUUUUAUCCUUCUCCUUUUCUAAAUCUGGUCAGCCUCAGCUAUCCCUUCGUUCCAGUGUUUCUCCACUUGCAGACAUGAUAUCCCAUCCUCUGCAGUCUAUUGCUAUACUAUACUAGAAUCACUACAGUCUCUUCUUCCUUUCUCUUGGAUAUGCACCAGUUAAUUUGAGAGAUUUGAUGAAGUCUCAAUUGGGAUUUUCUAAAUAGAAGAUUCCUACCUAUUAAUCUUUAAUCUUCAUUCCUUUUUUCUUUUGUGGUUUUCUUCAAGUGGAAAUAAAAUGCAACCAUGGCUAUGAGUUCAUUUCUUGCAUCAACUUUAUCUUCAACUAUACUCGUAGUAAUUACAUUUCUCCAUCUUCUCUCCACAACUUCUUGUUUGAAUCAUAAUCAACCUCCGGAUACAGUUCAGGUGAGCCACCGCCCCUGCCGCGCCUUCUUCUUCCUCCUCCUCCUCUUCUUCGUUCUCUUCUUUUCUAUGUUUGUUUUACAGUGACAAGACAUGUCCAGUAGUUUGUAUGUUUUCUUGAACCUUUCCCUUUUAUUUUUAAGGGUUUGUUGGUUGAAGAAAAGACAAGAUUGGGUUCAACACCGCCAAGUUGCUACAACAAGUGCAACAAUUGUCAUCCAUGCAUGGCAGUUCAAGUUCCCACAAUGCCAAGCCAUAGCCAACUCAAGCCAAGACAAAUUACUCGAGCUACAACGACAACGGAUAGUCACAUUGAUUCAUCAUCACCCUCAUCAUCAUCAUCAUCAGUAGGUAACAGGUACUCCAAUUACAAGCCUCUUGGAUGGAAAUGCAGAUGUGGUGGCCACUUCUACAAUCCUUAGCUUCCUAAAAUCCCAUUUCAUCUUUAGUACUACUACUAGAAUGUAAUUGUUUAUUUUCAACUUUUAGCACUAGCAUGAGUAUUAUUAACUUAUGAUUUUAUAGAUUUAUAGCUUCUAUCCAUGGGAUUCUAGUAGAGACAAGACAAUCAAUUGAGGGAAGUUAGAGAUAUUUAUUGUGUACAAAUUGAAUAAUGCAGCCUUUAAUUUGUAUAGUGAUUGAUUGCAGACUAUCUGACUACUGAUUUUAAUGUUACUUUUAUGUGUAUUGGGAGAAUUUGGGGACUUGCAGUAGUACUGUACAAGUACUGCACAUUUUUAUUGUUGAUGCACAUUGUACAGUUUAUAUAAAUUAAAUUGACAUUGCUGUUUUACACAUUAAUGACUUGUACCACUAGUAUUAAAGGUAUGAAUGUACGAGGUGUUAGUUGAGUCAGCUUUGCCUUUGCCCCUCUCUAUAUCCUUUUGAUUCUAUUUUCAUUCGUCCUUCCUUACUUUAUCUUCUUGGGAUUUUCAUGAUCUUUCCCUCAUGUCCUAUGCAUUCGAGGGUAUCUUCUUGUUACAGUAGAAAUUUGGUUUUACUACCUAUCAGAAGGCUAGUAGGUUAUUGGAUAUUUACUAAAGGAACCUUGAUGACACAUGUAUAUAUUUUCCCCUGGAUGGUCAGAUACACAUGCAGAACUGCAGGAUUUCAUGAGUGAUAUCAUUGCCUUUUUAGCUGUAGCAUCCCAGGGUAGUUACCGUGUUUUGGUGAUAUAUGCUAACAUAGAGAAUCUCUUAGAAAAAAACCAGAGGAGGACAAGAAUAGCAGCAAAAACAGUGGUCUCCCUAUACUAUAUAUGCCUGUUUCUUUCUUGUCUCGAGCAAGUGCCUUUGGCCUUUGCAGGCCAGAACUUAGAAAUCUACCAUAAUGGUGACAAAAUUGUUAGUCACGAUGCAUAUUUGGCAUAAUUGGCUAGUGUUGCACCAAGAAUAUUUAUAUUCUUUCAUAUGCAAUUAAACUUCAUGGGAAUUGAUUUUUAACUAGCAAGAGGGAUUUUUUUCCUCACCACAAAAUCCAGUUUUGAAUUUGUCGAUUACCCAAAACAAAUAGACCAAAUAAUUUGGCAUACUAUUUUUUUCAAGUUCAAAUUUAGAUUUUGCGCUCAAAGAGAAAACUGAAGAGAUUCGUCCUCAAAACCUAGCUUUAACUGGUAGAGAUAUUAGUCACGUGACCAUGAGUUUCUUGUUUGAGUAUCAAUCCCUCCCUUGCAAAGCGUGGAAAUUCCCAUUGAGAGUAAAAAAAAUAAAAAAUAAAAAAUAAAAAGGAGAGAGAGGACUUGACUUGGGCUGAAGCUGCUGCUGUGUUAAUGCAACUGUCACUAGGCCCUUUUUGAAAAAUGCUCCACAAAAUCAAAUGGGCUAGUCCAACAUAAAGCCACCACAACUAAUCCAUACUACCUUCCCCGCCAUCCCCCUUUUUUUUUAUUUAUUAAUAAUAAUAAAUGUUUGGAAAUUGAUAUCCAGAAGAGCGAAGGUCGUUAAAUUCGUUAACACCACUCAACUCAUCAGUCAUCACAGCAACCAGCAAUGGCGUCCUCAUCCUCAUCAUUCACCAUGCUCCUCUCCGCACCCAAUCCCUCACUCUCUCCUUCUUCCUCUCGCACCACUCUUUCUACUCUCCGCACCACAUUUCUUCCAACACUUUCUUCUUCUCCAUCUCCUUCUCCUUUUUCCCCGACGGCGAUUACCAGAAGAAGGGGAAAGUCUCUCUUGGUCUCCGCCGCGGCGGCUGGGGCGCUUCAGGCUUUGAUAUUCGACUGCGACGGCGUGAUAUUGGAGUCCGAGCACUUACACCGACAAGCCUACAACGACGCCUUCUCUCACUUCAACGUCCGCUGCUCCUCUUCAGCUACGGAACCUCUCAAUUGGGGACUCGAGUUCUACGAUGAGCUCCAGAAUCGAAUUGGCGGUGGAAAACCUAAAAUGCGAUGGUAAACUUAUAUGACUUGUGUCUAUAUUUUCUUCACUUGUUAUUUUUGUUCGAUAAUCCUAUUUGGAUUAUGAUUUUUGUGUUUUCUUUUACCUUUAUUAGGUAUUUUGGGGAGUAUGGAUGGCCAACUUCAAGGAUUUUUGAGACGCCUCCGGACAAUAAAGAGGAUAGAGAAAAGCUAGUUGACAUUAUUCAAGUUGAGUAUCCAAUUAUUUGUUUGCUUUCACUUUAUUGUUAAUUAUUACUUAUGCUAAUUGCUCUUUAAUUUUCAUGCUCAAUUCAAAAACUUGCAACAAUCAUUUCGGAGAGUGUGAAUCUUUUAUUGUUACUAAUUCUUCUCGUGCUUACUUUAUUAUUAGUUUUUUCAUCAUGUUAACUUCCCUGUGAGCAUUUACCUUGUCCUUGAGCUUGCCAAAAUACUAGAAAAGCGUAAUGCUGAAAAUAGUGUUUGAAAAAGAGCCAAAAUUUAGAGAUAAAGGUGAUGACCUUGUCGUCUAAGAACCAUGGCCAAUAAAUUUAGUUUUAAUAUUUAGAGUCUAAGAAGUAGAACGAUUCAUACUAUCAGGAAAAAUUUGCAACAAAUCCUAAAGAAAAAAAAAAGACAAUUUUGGAUAUCGUGCAUGCUGCUUCGUUCUAACCUUCCAGGGAAUACCUUUAUGAGCAACUGUGUUGUGCGCACUUAGACCCUUUUGAGGUUUUCAGAUUUCAGGACCCUGCCACCAUGGCCAUUGAUAUGAUAUUUUUUCUUAUAGAUGGAAACGCCAGUUUACUUGGUGGAUCUUGAUGAUGUUUCUCAGCUAUAGCUCUGAUGCUGAAAACUUCUAAACCUAUCUUGAACCUAUUAUCAGAUCAAGCCCUCUGAAAUAGUAGGUUGAUGGUUAACCGAGUUAGCACCCAUAUUUUUUAGAUAGAUUGCAUUUUGUAAUUAGUUAUCAGCGUGACAAAUAAUUAAGUCUUAAGUGGAUGCUUUAGAACAAAGGGAGAGGAGAACUUCAAUCAAGCAGCAGUUUUUUGGGAAGUCUUUCCAAUAUUUUACUUACGUACUACAUGACUUCCGUAGUAUAGCUGUAUGGAUUUAAGGCUUAGAAAAUGAUGUCGCUCUGCAUAAGCAUUACAUUGUACCUGUGAGCAAGUACCAUCCAUCACAUUUGAGUUCAUUAGCACUUCUGCAGCCGUAAGCAGUGCUUGAUUUGUUACUUAUGCAUUUAAAAUCUUAUGACUAAAAUCUUAUGAUGUAUAAAUUAACUUUUCGCGUAUCAAUUUCAAGUUCAUUUAAACACUUUUAUUGUUGACUAAGGUGACUAUUUUUGGUGGCUUUUGCAGGACUGGAAGACUGAGAGGUACAAAGAAAUAAUCAAAUCUGGAACUGUAAGAGCUGUUAUUGUCCCUUUCUGUAUUUGUGGUUUGCAUUCUUAUUACAUGAUGACGGUGGCUUUCUAUAAUAUUGGGCAGGUUAAGCCUAGACCAGGAGUUUUAAGAUUGAUGGAUGAGACGAAGGCUUCUGUAAGAUAGAAAUUCUAUAAACACAACUUUAACACUCCAGCAUGGAACUUAGAAAUACGGAUCAUUUGAUCUGCAUCAGAUCACCAAUGACCUUAUUGGGUUCUGACAUAUAUUCUUGUCUGUUCCUAGAAUGCUACUUUCGUAUGCUUCUUCUUUCUUAUCAGAAAGGUUAUACCUACUCUCUCUUGGUUUCAGGGUAAGAAACUGGCUAUUUGCUCUGCAGCAACCAAGAGCUCAGUUGUACUCUGCCUUGAAAAUUUAAUAGGGAUUGUAAGCCCUUGCUUAGAUUUAGUUAUUUCCAUUCAUUUUCUUUUCUUUAAAUAAGGUUUUCACUUAUUGUAAACUUCUGAUUCUGUUUUAGGAGCGAUUCCAAGGUCUUGAUUGCUUCCUUGCGGGUACUUCAAACUCUUUAGCUAACAUGUUACAGAUUUGACUCUGUAUUUGCUAAACUUAAAAUUUUAUUUCUACUAAUGCCCACCUUAUGCUUUUAUGCUUAUUAUCUGAGCAUUUCAUAUGCAUGGUGCUCGAAGGUAACUGGUUGAUCCUCCUAAUUUAUUCUAGAACAGAAUAUUGAAGUUUAUUGUCAUGUGACGAAUCAGAAUCUGCAAGGCAAACCUAUUCUGUGAUCUGAACUGGAUGAUAUGGAUGAUAUCUUAGGUAUUAGAUAUGAGAAGAAAAGUGGAAUCUUUAGUUGCUUAUUUUGGGUUUUGAUAUUGUUUAACUUUUUCUAAAAGACAAGGAUAUAUCAUUGCUUUCUUGACUGACUUCUUGAGGAGGUUUAGUUUUCAUAAGUCGCUUAUAACUGGUCUAAAAAGUUUAAUACUAAUCAAAAUUUUCAAUUAUGAUCUCUUGAAUUACGUAUUUAUUGCCACCCUGCUCCUCAAAACAGUUUGCUGAGGAUAUCAAAUUCACCUUACUGCUUGCAAUGAUGCUUGUUAAAAUGGUUAUAAUGAUUUUUAGCAAUUCUUGUGGACUCUUUGACUGUUGACAUUACCUAGUUGGAGUCCUCGCUUUGGCACCACCUCAACUCAGGUUUAAAAUAGCAGAGAAGAAAUAUACUAAUAAAAUAUACUUUUUUGCUGUUAACUGUUUUGUUUCUAGUUGUAUUUGUGAUUCUGAUGGUGGGAAAAUGUGUUGUCCCUGUAAUAUUGAAGUAUGUCUUGAUGUAUGAAUACUUAAUAGACAAAUACAUGUUAACUAAGUUACAUAUAAAAUGACAAAUAUUUUCACUUCAUAUGCAGUAUAUCUACUAUGACACCUUUUGAUAUGCAUACACUACACAUUUAAAUGUAAUUGUGCAUGUAUGUAUCGAGGUCUAUGAGAAAAGUAGGCAGAGGAGGAAUAGCACUUGAAAGAUAAAAUUAUGAAUUGGAGUUUUCUGAAUACCACUUCCCACAAUACUUUCUUUGGUCUUCUGAAAGUAAAGAAGCCGUGAAUUAGUAAACUUUGAAACUACUUCCUUGUACUGACCAAGUGUAAAGACUUAGAAAUAUGGCAUUUAUUUAUUUAUUAUUAUUAUUAUUAUUAUUAUUAUUUUUUAAGUAGCUGGUCUUGAACCCAGGACCUCCCACUUACAGUCCCUCCCCCCUACCACCCAACCCAACCCUGCCCCCCAACUUUGAAAUAUAGCCUAAUCUUUGUUGUGCAAAAAAUAUUAUGAUGCCUGGAGAUAAAUUGCAGUAUUUUCAGUUUAAUUCAAUUGAUUCAGUAGAAUACUUUGUAUAGUGAACCUAGUGUGUAUUGAUUGACCAUUUUAAUUGCUAUUAAAGUCUCUUACUUCCCCUACUUUGUCUUGGGUUUGCAGGUGAUGAUGUGAAGGAGAAGAAGCCUAAUCCUUCAAUUUAUCUAACUGCUGCUAAGGUUGUCAAAAUGGCAAAAACUUUUAUUCGUUUUGCUUCUGAGUUACCAAUCUGAACAUGGCAAAUCGAACUCUGCAGAAACUUGGGGUGUCAGGUGGUGAUUGCUUGGUGGUGGAGGAUAGUGUUAUUGGGCUACAGGUUAAUCUCUACUUUCUUAAAAUCUUUGAUUAUAAUGCUCAAGACCAGUGGUGGAGCCAGAAAAAAUUUUCAGUGGGGGAAAAGCAACUCUAAUAUUUUUUACCUACUCUUUUUUCAGUUUUUUAAGGAAAAAAAAUAUUCAUCAACAAGUACAAAUGAUGCAUAUAUUUCAUGAAAAACAUCAAAAGACAAAUUCAAAAUUAUUAAUGUAAUAAUAAUUUUAUUUCAAAAGCAAACUAAAGCAUUUACAAUUGCUCAUGAUGAGUUUUCAUAUUUUGAUAACGGUUUACAACCUUUUUAUUUUGAAUUUCACGAAGUAUAUUUUUCUCAAUAUAAGUAACUAAACAAUUAUUCAUCCAAGUGUCUUCCAUUCUAUUUUGUAACCGAUUCUUCACUAUAUUCAUCAUUAAGAAAACCUUUUCUAUAGUAGUUGUAACAACGGGUAAAAUCAAAGUCAACUUUAAAAGCAUGUAAACUAAUAGAUACACAAAACUCUAGGGGACACACUUGAAAUUACAUCAAAUUUUUAUAGGUAUUAUAGAAAUUUAAGAGGGGCAGUGGGGGCCUAUAAACCAAUAGAUACACAAAACACUAGGGGGCACAUUAAAAUUACAUCAAAUUUUAUAGAUAUAAUAGAAAUUUAAGGGCCCCCAGUGCCCCCAGUGUAAAUACGCCACUCAAGACUGUCAACAUAGGCACAUUGUUGAAAAUGUUUCAGUUUUUAUGCUGUAAUUAUCUGUGGAUACCGACAGAAAAUUUUAAUAUCUGGGCGACUGCAUUUGCUUAUUUAGACCAUUUUUAAGCUGUAUUUCAGCCAAAUGUAAUGAGUUUAAAUAGAUAUUUUAUUAGAAUUCUAAAUGUGCCACCAUUUCUUUGUCAUCCUUCAUCCCUUUCAUUGCUUUUCUGCUAACAUAUAAGAUGCACAAUGAAAUUCUUUUGUUGAUGAUGUGGAACCGAAAUCAACUAAAUUCACCUAAAGCCUUUAUCCUAUUUGUAUCCAAUUGAAAUCUUAGUUCAUGGGUAAAUCACAUUUUUAAAAUCAAGAGCUUGUCUAUACAAUCUUUUAAGUUCUCUGACUUCGGACAUGCGCGAAUUAAAGAAGAUGAACAAAAGUAGACAUAAGAGAUAGUAGAUUAGGAGCCCGUUAUUGCCCAUUAUUAUUGAGUGAUUUCUAAGAUGUUGCUUAAAAAAUUUGGAAAUAUGUUAUUCUUUUAAUAGUUACUAAAAUGCCAAAAGCUGUAUUUCAAAGCACCUGAGGAGCUGCUUUUUGGAAUCAUCUUUUAUCAACUUAAAAAAAACUCAAAACAGAAGUCAAAUGGGAACUAUUUUCAGCUUAAAAAAGCUAUAAUCAGUUGAUUUUAUGCAACAGAGAGUUGACUUAUUAUAUCCAAUUAUUGGUGAAUUUUUUUGUAAGGUCUAACUUUCCUAGUGUUGGAAUGAUGUACAUUUUUGCGAGAAUAUCACUGAGCACAAAGUAGAUAAUGUUGGUUCACUCAGUCCGUAUAGUGUUUCUCACAAGAACUGGAAUCAUAGAAACAUUAUGAUAGGAUUUUACACAAGUAAGUGAUUCUCCCUUCCACUGAUUUCUAGCUUUAGUCCAACAAAAUUUCCAUGAGGAAUCGAAAGCAAACUUGGCAAAUUUCAUGCAUACAAAUUUCUAAUAAUUAACAAGCAAAAAAAAAAGUAAAAUUCAUUGUUUACUUUUGACAGGAAAGCUAAUUCAUGAUUUUCAGUUACUCUGUGAUGAUUUAACAUGUGUAAAAACUACAUUAUUUUUUUGCAGGCAGCAACAGGCGCUGGGAUGCCUUGUAUAAUUACAUAUACAUGUUCAACUGCUAACCAGGUAAGACCCGUUUUUGUGGUAUCCUGUUCAAAUACUUGGGUGAGAGGAAUGGGUUUCACGAGGUGCUAGAUCAGAGUCCGUUAUCAUCGGAGAUACCAACUGUUAGUAUGGUAUUAUAUGUUUGAGAUUGCUCUUUGAUUUGAUACAGGAUUUUAAAGAAGCAAUAGCAAAGUUCCCUGACUUGAGUGAUGUCAGGUAAACAUUGCUGUCACCAACUCCAAGAAAAUCUUUGUUUGCACUUGAUAUCCAUUUUGUAUGUCCUAAUGCAGAUUGAAGGAUUUAGAGAUAUUGCUUCAGAGUUUUGUGCCUGCCAACUGAAAAAAUCUAUCCAAUAUCUUAGAAUGUGUACAGGUUGCACUGCCGAUAGCCAGAUUCACAAGUUCGCGCUGUGUGUCAUUUAAGGUACCAUCACAUGACUGGUAUUUAAUUUUGAGGAUAUUGCAAGUGAAAAGCUAAGCUAUCCUCGACUUAGAUCAUCAUUCAUUUUGGAAUCUUUUAUAAAAAACAGACAUUAAAUUGUAUCUCUUCCUCCUAAGAUAUUACACUCUACCCAAGUUAUUCAUCUGACAAGAUAUGGAUCCUCUGUCUCUGUCUGGGUGAUUGUAUAUGCAUGUCCCACAUGCACGUAAGUCAACAUUAUAACAUUUGGCAAAACUCAAAACUCCCCUGUUGUUUGGGUAUCUUGUAUUAAUUUAUAAACAUUGGUUGAGCUUGGACAAGGGAGAAAGACAAGACCGUCCUUUAAAAAAAUCUUAUUUAGUUAAAUUGUUUUGUUCUCUCUUUUAUGUUAUAGACUUUACAUAGAUUCUAGUACCAGUAAAUUUCACCAGGUGCUAACCAAGCUAGCUUGUUGAACCCGGCCGGUUAUCACUGCUCUGUCCUGUUGCCUUUCUACUUACCAACGAUUACCUGGUGAUGCAAUAGAUGUUUUGCAUUUGUAUCUAUUGAAACCGACAACUAUUUGAUUCAAAUUCAUAAAUGUUAUGUCUUGUGAAGGUGAAAGUUGGUCAUUAUGAGUGUCCAGGACAUCAUAAACCUCUUGUCUGUCACUUGAUAUUAUAUUUGUGCCUGUGGUAUCUCGAGGGAUUGGCAGAAUCUCAACCAAAAUCAGGUUUGCAACAAUGAGUUUGUUCCAUACAAUCGGAGUCCAUGGAAGGUGGAUACUUUCUUCUGAUGCCCCAUAUAUUUUUGCAUCUUUUUAACUACAAGAAUAAGAGCAAAUAUCUUCGACCAACCAAAUGACAGCAAAAAUGGACGAAGCUCUUUUCUUUUUUGAGGGGGGUGGUGGCCGGUGGGGGGAAGGGGAAAUCACAGUACUCUAAUCUUAACCUGUUACUUUUUUCUUUAUUUAUUUUUCUUUGAAUAAUUGCCACUGACAUUUCUUUUAGUUUCCGUCUAUGACAUUGUCCAGAACUCUACUCUCCAACCGGAAAAAAAUAUAUAUAUAUAUGGAGAGAGAGAGAGAGAGAGAGAGCUAAGUAUUAGUAGUCUAUUUCUUGAUAGAUUCUGCAGGUUGGAAGAUUUGCGGGCUCCAAUGUGCCCUCAAUAAUAAGAGAGAGAGAGAGAGAGAGAGAGAGAGAGAGAGAGAGAGAGCUAAGUAUUAGUAUUCUAUUUCUUGAUGGAUUCUGCAGGCUGGAAGAUUUGAUACUAAAGUGGUUAGACACACGAUUCACGGCUUGCUUUGACCCAACAGAGUCGGCCGUCUUGUCUUUAUCAGUUUUAUUUUAUUUUCCUUUUUUGCUUUGGAUGUUGAUUUAGCUUUUAUGGACCACACCAAUAAAAUUGAUAUAAGUGACAAAGUAAUACUUUGUGAAUCUUGUCCACAAAAAAUCAGAAACUACAAAAGCUAUCAGCUGUGUAAGAGAAUACAAAUGAUAUUUAGCAACUCACACAAACAGGUUUUGUUUGGUUAUUUUUAAAGAUUUGGUUCGUUUUUUUGAGUUUUAGUUCUGCCCUAAUGGACUUAGAAAGUUGAAAAUUAAAACUCUAUGGAGAUUGUAAAAUGCCAACCAUCACUAGAAGAGUAAUAUAUAUUGGUUUCCACAAACCAAUCAAAGACUGCUAAAUAUAUACAAGUUGACAUUUGACAAAAAAAUCAAGGGUUAAUUCCACUUUGUCCCCCCAAACUUUGGACGAUUACCCACUUAAGUCUCUAAACUUCAAAAUGGGACACUUAAAUCCCUAAACUUAUAAAUACCUCCCACUUAAGGAAAAUUGUUAACAAAUCCUGAAUGCCGUUGGUGGUCGAAGUAUCCCAUUUUAUAAGGGUUUAGGGAUUAAAGUGUCCCAUUUUAUAAGUUCAAGGACUUAAGUGGGAGGUAUUUAUAAGUUUAGGGACUUAAGUGUCUCAUUUUGAAGUUUAGGGAUUUAAGUGGAUAAUCGUCCAAAGUUUGGGGGGACAAAGUGGAAUUAACCCAAAAAUCAAAUCAAAUACCGCUAAACAUGACUUAAAGUUGCCGUCAUUGAACAGCAACUUGUAAUGGUCCUUCAACAGCAAAUGUUUCUACUGAAAUUGAUUAUACCGCUUGCUCUUACAUAGACAGUGAGCUUUCAUUUUAUGGAGUUAUCCAUAUCACCCUUCAUUUGCUGCACAACUCAUCCAGCGAUCUUGUCACCAGCCCGGAAUAAGUCAAUGAUCAAUUGACGAACGUUUCUGAUCAAAUGUCAGAUGAUACUGAUCUCGUAUGUGAUAAUUUCCUCUAUGGUGUUAAUUUCGUCUGCAUCAAUCAUUUUCUGGACAACUCAUACGUCUUUCUUGUCACCGGCCCGGAAAAAAGUCAGUGAUCAAUUGGCAAACGUUUCUGAUCAAUUGGCAGUAUACUGCUUUCUAUCCGAUGCUACUGAUCUUGUAUGUUUCCUCUACAUCAAUCUCCAUUUUCUGGACACCGCCUUUCAAGAAAAGAUAAAAUAUUUCAAAAACUAAUCUCGAUUUUUUGUUGCUGGCAGAAAAAUCUGGUAUAUGAUAAUCAAUAAUAUGGUUGAAGUGUCGUUUUUUCGUAUAAAAUAAACACUAGGGAAAAACAAGUAUGAAAAUAUCUAUCGAUAUAAAAUUAUUAGAAAACUCUAAAGUAUGAUUCACGCAGCAUUAUAUAUUAGCCCCAGCAAAUUAAGCUGGACAUGAACUGCAAAGGAAAGAGCAAUUAACCAUGGGGAAAGCAGUCGAGAAGCCUCACGUUAUCUGCAUCCCAUACCCUACUCAAAGUCAUAUAAGCGCAAUGCUUAAGUUGGCCAAACUUCUCCACCACAAGGGCUUUCACAUAACAUUUGUUCACACAGAAUAUAACUACAAGCGUUUGUUGAAGUCACGAGGUCCCAACUCUCUGGAUGGUUCGCCAGAUUUCAAUUUUGAGACCAUCCCAGAUGGCCUCCCCCCAUCUGAAAAUGAUGAUUGUACUCAAGAUGUUUUCCAGCUUUGUCUUUCAAUUGAAAAACAUUGCUACGGUCCUUUCGUUGAUCUAGUUAGGAAGCUCAACAAAAGGGCUUCAGUUGAUGAUGAUUAUCCUCCUGUAAGUCGUAUAAUAUCAGAUACUGUUAUGUCAACAUUCACACUUGAAGCAGCUCAAGAACUAGGACUUCCAAAUGUACUGUUUUGGACUGUCAGUGCAUUCACUGUCAUGUGCUUCUUGCACUUCCCUCAUCUUCGUGAACGAGGGUAUACACCUCUUAAAGGUAUGGAGUAUAACUUAAUUAUUGUUCAUUUCACAUGAUUUGAAUAUAUAAAACGAAAUGAGAAAAGAGUGGACACGUCUUAAUUUUUGAAUAUUUCAGCUAAUAUGGUGGCUAAUUAGGUUUGCAGAAAUAUAUGUAUGAACGAUACAACCAUGUAGUUUAGAUAAAGCAAGCUAUUGGUUAAGUCAAAUUUUGUAUGUCAUUUGAAAUUCAAGAGGCCUCUUAAGAUUUCAUAAUUUAAUAAAUGUUUUCCACUUUAUUUUCGAUUCUGAAAUUCUUUCAAAAUAUUUAGCACUUUUACCUUCCUCUUUUGUUCUUUAGCAUGUCGGACAUUCAUCUUUUUCAUUUCCCCUAACCGGUAUAAACUCAAGAAUAGUGAUCAAUUGGAAAUAGGAAAAUCUAAGUCAUCUUAAUCUAUCCAGUUUCCCCAGUUGCUAAUUUCCUUCCGUAUUCUUUUGACAUAAGAAGAUGUUGACCGGAAUUUUUUUGCCCCGUGUCAUAAAUAUGGUCAUGUUUUUCUGUUAUAAUUUACAGACGAGAGUUAUUUUACAAAUGGGUACAUGGACAACACUAUUGAUUGGAUUCCUGGAAUCACUAGCAUACGCUUAAGAGAGAUGCCAACAAUAAUCUGGACAAGUGAUCCCAAGGAUGAAUUUGUGGACUAUUUCAUAAGGCUAAUGCCAAGAACUUGCCAGGGUUCAGCCCUGAUUUUGAACACUUUUGACGAGCUAGAGCAUGGUAUUUUGAAGGAAUUUUCUUCAAUGAUGGAUCAUGUAUACACUCUUGGACCAAUUCACUUGCUUAUGAACGACAUGCUGAAAGAUGACCACUACACUGAAUCCAUCCAAUCCAAUCUAUGGAAAGAAGAUGAUACUUGCAUCGAAUGGCUGAAUUCCAAGGGGCGUGGCUCAGUUGCUUAUGUUAACUUUGGUAGCAUUACAGUAAUGACUGAAGAUCAGUUGAUUGAGUUUGCAUGGGGACUUGCUAAUAGCAUGCAAAACUUUCUGUGGAUCAUCAGGCCCGAUCUUGUUAAUGGAGGGCCAGUUGUUCUGCCGCCUGAAUUUCUGACUGCUACUAAGGAUAGAGGGAUGUUAGCAACUUGGUGUAACCAAGAACUUGUUCUUAAUCACCCAUCAAUUGCUGUAUUCUUAACACACUGUGGGUGGAAUUCUAUCCUUGAAAGCUUGUCUGCUGGAGUACCAAUGAUUUGCUGGCCAUUUUUCGGCGAUCAACAGCCUAAUUGUUUAUGCUGUUGCAAUUACUGGGAUGUUGGCGUGGAGAUAGACAGUAAUGCGAACAGAACACAGGUGGAGAAGGUGGUAAAAGAGUUAAUGGAGGAUGAAAAGGGCAAGGAGAUUAAGAAGAAGACAUUGGACUGGAAGAGUAAAGCCCAAAAAGCAAUAAAACCGGGUGGAUCUUCCUACUUAAAUCUAGACAAGAUGAUUGAAGAAGUGCUUCUGUCCCCUAAAAUUUAAAUGAUGUAUUAAACCCUUUUUUCAUUCCAUUCAAGGAACAUCAUGGUCCGUAGUUAUUCAGCAUUUCGACCAUGUACUCUUUACUUUUAUUCUUUCUUGUUUGAAGUGUGGAAAUUUUACUUAAGAAUCCAAUGCCUGUCUUUAACUACAAGUGUAUUCGCUAUUUGGUUUCAUCCUCAAUCCAACAAAAUGGAUGUCUUCAGAGGGUAGAAAGGUAAUUUAACCUUUAACAAAAUAUGACAUGAUGAUUACAUAAUGCCCUUAUAUUAAAAGAUUUUUUUUUGGUAAGAAAAAAUUUGGAUGGACUCGACUUUGGUUACCAUCAUAGGUCAGAGCAUGUUUUUGGAACUAUAAGUCAUUUACAAGAGAGUUUACAAUCGUUUAUUAAUACAGUUUUUACAUUGACAGCGGAAUUCGAACAACAACUUUUUAUGAGGAAAUGCCUCGUCAACCCAUCCUUAUUGAUCGACAAUUUCUUACAAGCGCACAGGGUUAAUCAUAGCAAUAAUUCACCUAAAAUAUUUCAGAGGCCGAACCUACAGGGAUGAGUUAAUUUUACAUACUUUAAUUAUUAUGAGAAGAAAGCAAUAAAAUUUAAAUUCAAGAGGUUUAAUAUCUAACUAUGAAAUAAAAAUAAAUAGUCAAAUUGAACAAAAUAGGGUUGAGAAAACAUUUGGCAAGAGACUAGAGCAUUAGAUCUUGAUCCAGAGUUUGAAUUAUCUGGUUAUUUCUUAACAAGUCAUGAAUGUAUGAUACUCAAGUACCUUAGAUUAUCUUUUGAUCCAUCUAAAUUGUGCCCAAUCAGAUCUCAUGUCUCUCUCGAGAUUACAAGUAUUUAGUUUGGGUGAUUUAAUUAUGUAAUACAAAUCUCAAUAUACUCUUGUGAUUAGGCUAAAUAUAUUUAUCUAUUUAGUGUAUGGUUGUAUAUCCCUUCUUAGUUCAAUACAAACCUUUUGAGCAUGUCUAUGGUGGCCAAUCACAAAUAUGUAAUUAAAUUAAAACAGAUAAAUCAAGGUAAAAGUUAAGAAUUUAAUUUAAUAAAUAAUCAAAACUUCUUCACAAGACCCUAAUCCUAAAUAAAAAUUAGUUCAUUAUAAUUGUAAGAAUAAACAAGUAUUCAAUGUUGAAAAAUACAAGACUUAGAAUAAAGAGCAUGUUUUUCACAGUUGACGUAACUCUGAAUUCCAAACCUUGAUUUCUAACUUUGAUUCUUGAAUUUUCAAAGAAAAACCUAGAACUAAUGUUCAAACAAGUGUUUUUUUCCCUAAAAACGACAUAAAGUACUCAUAUUUAUAGUUUCUUAAAGUUGUGACCUAAGUAUGAUACGAUUAGGUCUCUAAAAGUUGCCAAAAAUUGAGUUUGAGCAUAUCUCCCGAUGAAUUGGAAUGGAAAUUCUCGAUACGAUCCGAAAAUAUAACUCGAGCUUAACAUGAAAUUAGUAGGUAUGGUUUAUUUUCCACAUGUUUGGAUCAAAAUCAGGUUAGACCUGAAUAAUCCACCAAGCAAAUAGGUCCAAAUUAGGUCAAUCAUAGGACCCAUUUGACUUGUUUAAUGUGUAAUUUUAUAAUUUAAUGGAGUAAAUAAAUUGGGGAUAUAAAGUAAAUUAAAAACUAAUCUAGGCUAUCAAUCAGUAGUAUGACACAACCAUAAAUUUUAUGUGAAAAAUAGAUUCUAUUUGUGAAAACGUCACAUUUUGUUUUUAUUUAUGAUCUAUUUGUACCAAAAAAGAAAGCCAAAGAAGUACUACAAGCAGCAAUCUUGAAAUCUAGGAUUGGGUUGAAAUUUUCUAUAUUUUUAUGGAAAUUUCAUUAUAGAAAAGUCCACCAUACUAUCAAGAUGAGAAGCUCAAAGAAAGAAAAAAAAUUAAGCAAAUAAGUUAUUCAGGUCUGGUUCAGAUAACCUGCGAAAUUAACAGAUCGUAUUCAGGUCAGGAAGGUUGAUCCAUUUAAUUUUGCGGAUCGUUUUCAAGUUGAUGUGUCACUCAGGAUGUUUGAGUCUCAAUCCAAUCUGCCAACCGACAACUUGACUUAAUUGCCACCCGGACUGAUGAAGUCCGCCCCAAAGAUCCUUUCAAUGUUCAACGCUAGACAUGGAAUCUGCCCGCAGAUCCAUAUAAUCCAGUAGCCCUCAUUUGCUUCUUGCUCUGUCUUUGCUCCAUUGCUAAUUUACUCUAUUUGUUUUGUCAAAAUUGGUCCAUUUUCUUUCCAAUUGAGCUCUCCACCUAUUAAAAAAAAUAUAAGAACAAUAUUAAGUAGUUUUUAUCCAAAUUAUUAUUCAAAUAUUAUAAUUAACUAGCAACUUAUACAUAUAAAGAUAUUACAACUUAUACUUUAUUAAUUGAACCAACUACUGUUGGCCCUUAUAUUAAAAGAUGCAGGAAGCUAUAAUCAAUGCUUGUUUCACAAAAAGAAUGCUGAUUAAUUUCUUGUUGAAAUCCCUUAACAAUCAAUUAUUCACUUAAAAUCCUCUCUUCCAUUCAAUCUGCUGAAGGGAACAUCAAGAUUUGUAGUAGAUGAAUGUGGAUGCUGAUAAUGCUAGUGCUAUCAUUUCGGUGUUGGAUAACGUUUGUUCGUUCGGAACUUCAAUAAAACUCACAUAAGGUGCAAUUACCCGGAAAUGAUUAUGAAGAAUAUUUAAUUUUUAAAGCAUCGACCUUAUUAUGUGCUGCACAUCCGCAUCAUUGUCAACUUUUGUUGCUUCCAUAAAUGAACUAGCACCUUUGAACAUAAGUGUGUAUCCCCUUUUGUUAUCUUUAGUUUUUGAUUAACCUGCCUACAUGGUGAUAUUUGGCUAGACUUCAAAUUCCUAUAUCGAUCAGUUUAAAAAGGCUAGUCUUUGCUGCUACCGUUUAUGAGCUGUGGAGGGCUGGAGAAGCAGGUUGUUUUCGAAUCCAGGGCCUUGCAAAUCCCAUUUUACUCCAUUUCCAGGUAAAAUAGUCAAUUCAAAAUUUGUUACACUAUAUUCUAACUUAGUUAUAACAUAUUUAAAUUUUUAUUACUCCAUCUUCCAAUUCAGUUAUACCCAAGAAACUUGUCUGAAAUGAAAUAUAUGAGGUCUUGCCCGUGUAUUUUUCAGUCUAGGCUAGUCUCUUGUGGUAGAUUUAUGACUGCUACGGUGGAACAUCUGCAUCGCAUUGUGCUGUACGUCCUGCGGAAAGAUUUCUAAACAUAGAGAGACAUUGGAUUUAAUACUUGGUUGGAACUGAAUACUGGACAAUUUUGUGAGUAGUGUUAGUUCAUUUUGAAAUGUGCAGUUCAGGUACAUGAUUGGUUCUGUUCCUGAUUAUAAACGUUUUGCUUAUUAUCAAUGAAAAUCAUUGUUGCUCGAAAAAGAAAAAAAAAAUCAUCAAAUGUAUUCUCGCAUUAAUAGUUUAGUUAAAUGUCAUAUUUGAGGAUGGUAUUCAACAAAAUUUAACUUGCAACCUAAUAAUUUGUUACAUGUCAUUUUUAAAGAAAGAAAAAUAUCAUCAAAUGUCUAUAAAAGUUGAUUACCUACAUGUAAAAGACUCUCAAUGAUGAAUGAGAUUCAUGCAGGAUUUAUAUUCUUCAAUCAAAAUCUGGGAUCUCUAACCACAAAGAGAGUAACUAGCCAUGGAAAAUCCAAUCAAAAAGCCUCACGCAAUUUGCAACCCAUAUCCAGUUCAAAGCCAUAUUAGCGCAAUGCUGAAGUUGGCCAAACUUUUCCACCGCAAAGGCUUUCACAAAACAUUUGUUCACACAGAAUACAACUACAAACGAUUGUUGAAAUCGCGAGGUCCCAACUCUUUGGAUGGUUCAUCCGAUUUCAUUUUUGAGAUACAAAUGCAUGAUCAUAGUGCUAAAUGGUCAAUCAGAUGAUGAUCUUCCCUUGAAAAGAUGAAAUGGAAAAGGAAACUUUAAGUACAUAAAUUCAAAUUUCAGGGGACAGAAGCACUUCUCCAAUUAUCUUAUCCAGAUUCGAGUAUGAAGAUCCACCAGGUUUUACUGCUUCUUCAGCUUUGGUCUUCCACUCCAGUGCCUUCUUCUUUAUUUCCUUGCCCUUUUCUCCCUCCAUUAAGUCUCUUACCACCUUCUCCACCUCUUUUCUGUUCACAUUACUAUCUAUCUCCACGCCAACACCCCAGUAAGAGCAACAACUCAAGCAAUUAGUCUGUUGAUCUGCAAAAAAUGGCCAGCAAAUCAUAGGUACUCCAGCCGACAAGCUUUCAAGAACAGAAUUCCAUCCACAGUGUGUUAAAAAUGCACCAACUGAUGGAUGACUAAGAACGAGUUCUUGAUUACACCACGUAGCUAACAUCCCUCUAUCCUUAGAAGCAAUGAAGAAUUCGGGCGGGAGAUCGAUUGGCCCUCCAUUGACAAGAUCAGGCCUGAUUAUCCAAAGAAAGUACUGCAUGCUAUUGGCAAGUCCCAUUGCAAACUCAACCAACUGAUUUUCAGUCAUGACUGUAACGCUACCAAAGUUAACAUAAGCGACUGAGCCUGCCUUCUUGGAAUUCAGCCAUUCGAUGCAACUGUCAUCUUCUUUCCAUAGAUUUGAUUGGAUUGCUUCUGUGGAAUGGUCAUCCUUUUGCACCUCUUUGAGAAGCAAGUGAAUUGGUCCAAGAGUGUAUACAUGAUCCAUCAUGGGAGAAAAUUGCUCCAAAAUACCGUGUUCUAGCGGCUCGAAAGUGUUCAGAAUGACAGCAGCACCCUUCAAAGUCCAUGGUAUGAGCUUAACUAAAUAAUCCACAAACUCAUCCUUGGGAUCAGUAGUCCAGAUUACGGUUGGGAUGUCUUUUAAUCGGACACUACUAAUUCCAGGAAUCCAAUCAAUGGUAUUUUCCAUGUACCCAUUGGUAAAGCAACUUGCAUCUGUAAAUUAAAUAUAUAAAAAAAAGCUGUACAUUACAUACAAUUGAAACAAGAAACAUUCAAUACCUAAAAUUGAUAUCUUAAUAUGGCAAAGGAUGAAAAAUAAAAUACAAUAUUGGCCAAAACAGGAUAAAGUAAGAUGCCCUGAUUGCCCUAUAUACAUUAAUCACCGUCUUGAUUCUUGAGUUUGUCUCGGUUCAAGAAGAGAAAAUUAUUAAUGAGAAAACAGUGCCAAAUAAUUUGAUGUGCUGUAAAAUAUAAUAACUAUAAUUUGAAGUGCAUGAGAAUUGAGUGCUAAACUUUAUGUGAGCAAAGUUUGUUCAGUCUGUAUAAUCUUUUGAAGGGUAAAUUAUCUUUUACCCUCCUAUGAUUUGAUGCUUUGAACCAUAUAGGGGUUAUGUGGUAAAAUAUCAAAUUAUAUGGGAGGUAAAAGGUAACUUAUCCUUUUUUUGAGCCCCUUUGGAUUUCAAAUUACACGUGCAGUAUUUGCAUUAGUCAUGAAGCUGCUCCAUUUCUGAGUCCAAUCAUUCUAUGGUUCAUAGGAUAUUUUUCUAUUGAGUCAGUCAUUAUAUAUACUAUCUGAAUUACUGCUAAAAUAUUACCUUUAUCCAAUUUUCUCAUUGCAAGGUUGUUAUGUUAUUUUUGUAUAGAGGAAAAAAAAAACAAAAUUCUUUUUUGUACCUUUGAGUGGUGUAUACCCUCGUUCACGAAGUUGAGGAAAUUGCGAGAAACACAUGACGGUUAAUGCACUCAUGGUCCAAAACAGUACAUCUGGGAUUCCUAGUUCUUCAGCUGCCUCAACUGUGAAUGUGGACAUAACAGCAUCAGAAAUUAUACAAGUUACAGGAGGAAAUUCAUCAUCCACCGAAGCCUUAUUGUUGAGCCUUCUAAUCAGAUCAACAAAUGGGCGGUAGAAAUUUUUUGCAAUUGAAGGAAAAAGCUGGAAAACAUCUUGGGUAACAUCAUCAUUUUCAGCAGGUGGGAGGCCAUCUGGGAUGGUCUCAAACUUGAAAUCUGGUGAACCAUCCAGCGACUUGGGACCCCUUGAUUUCAGCAAACGUUUGUAGUUAUAUUCUGUGUGAACAAAUGUUAUGUAAAAGCCUUUAUGGUGGAGAAGUUUGGCCAACUUUAGCGUUGCGCCAAUAUGACUUUGAGAUGGGUAUGGGAUGCAAACAGCAUGAGGCUUCUUCACUGCUUUCUCCAUUGCCAUUUGCUCUUUGAUCAGUUUGCAGUUGAAGUCCUCUUUAAUUUGCUUGGAGAUAUAUAAUGCUCAUGUACUGUCUCUUAUUACUUUUCUAUUUAUGUACAGAGUUUCUCGUCGGUUUUCUUUCCUUUUCUUUUCUUUUUUUUUUGGUUGAAAAUGCCUUUUCAACUAAAUUAUAUGUCAAGUGCUAGAAAAUUUUUUGGGGCCCCCUUAUAUUAUGGCAAGAAGAAACCGAGAUAGGGUUUAAUUAGGAAAAUGUUUUGAUUUCUAGCAAUAGGGAAAUGAUAUACAUGAAAUUACCGCCAUAAAAAGAACUCCUUGAUAAAAGAUCAUUCAAUUAGGGAAACAAAGAUAUUGUCCCAUUUUCCUGCUGCAAAUGUUCGAUUAUAGAUAUGAGCAAUGAUAUUAGACCCAACAAUUUACAGAUAUUAUGAGCGGAGUAUGUCGAUUGGCUUGUAUACUGAAGCUACUUCAACUUGUAGCAAGUAAUCAUGUUAAUACUACAUAGUUUCUACGUAACAAUGCACUACUGUCGGUCUUAAUAUUUCUCUCGAGUGGUUAGAUGACUUACAGGGGCAGUGGAAUGGGACAAUUGGAAACUUCAGAAUUUUUACAGAAUACAAUUGUAGGACAAAAUUAUAAAUUUAAUACUCCCUCUGUCCUCUUUUAAUAGUCCUAAUUUUUUUCACACAGUUUAAGAAAAAGUAGUUAACUUUGUUGGGAAAACAAAUUUAGAUUGCUAUUUUCCUAAAAUACCUUUACAUUAAAUAAAUUUGGCUUUUCAUAUAUCAAUAUGUUUUAAAAAAUCUAAAUGCAUUAAAUGGGGUAGGCUACAUUCAAUACUAACAAUCUAUAUUAAAUAAGGUACUUUAUAGUAAUAACAACUUACAUUAAAUAAGGGUAUUUUAGAGAAAUUAAAAAACAACUACAUUUCUCGAUUGAAAUGUGGAUUACAAUUUGAAACAGACGAAAAAGGAAAACAAAAUUAUCAAAGUGGGACGGAGGGAGCAUAUAACAAACCAAUUUUAAGAAUCUUUUGAAGUUGAACUCGGUAGGUAAAAGUUUCUCCUGCUACGAUUAAGAUUUUUUCUACGCCUUUUCGUAUUAAAAAGACAUUCUCCUACAACAUAACACUUUCUGUUUUUAUAAAAAGGCAAAAUGAUAUGACACAAAUGUAAUGACAUAACAUAAAUAUAAUGGCAAAAUGCCAUGACACAAAUAUAAUGUCGGAAAAAGUAAAACAAGUAAAGGGUUACAUCUUUGUAAUACAGAUGAGCAAGAAAAAAAUUGUGCAAUAUCAAGUCGUGAUUCAUGUGUUCUUGGCUGUUUAAUCAAGCCAUUGAACAACGAUAGUAAUUACGCCCAACAAAAAGAAACUCAAGCCUUUGGAAUCCCUAUCGCCCGAUAAGCCCACCAACUUCCUGCCAAUAAUAAAAAGCAUCUUAGAGCCAGCAGAAGUGCAGACCCCUCCAAGCUACCCUAAUUAUGAUGGAAAAGGCCCUUCAUGAUGGAUGGUUGUCUUUUGUCUCUAAUUCUUUAAAGUUGUUUGAUGACAUUUCGCCUUGUACUGCAGCUGGACAAAUAGAAGCUGGCAGUUUGAACAAACUACGAGCUCGUUUGAAUUUUAGGUUUUUGGAAGUUUUAUAAAAAAAAUAUACAGUAAAGAUGUAAUGUAUGUGAAACAAAAAUAUAACUAAGAAAUGUGUUAAAAUUUUUUUUUUUUUUACGAGACUUACAAUUCAAACAAGAUCUAGCUCUUAGACAAUUGGUGUCUUGCAAAAGGCAAAUUAAAGGUCGUGGAAAGCAGCAAAAGUCUACAAUCCGCCUAAUUGACACCAAUGAGUAAAAUCUCCUUAUACUUCAAGGCCCUAUAGUAACAAAAAAGAGUGUGCUAAACAAUUCGUAGGAGUAGAAACUGCAGCAAAUAAGAAAUUGUAGCCUUCGAAAUAAGAGUUGGCUAAGCGUGAAUACACCAUGAAGUUACAAAAAUUGUACCUAUGAGUCAACCCCUAAAGCGAAAUAAGCACAACAAAAGAGCAAUAGACUAGAACUAGCUUACAAAAAUGAAAUGGUCCCUAUGUAACUAGUCAUCCACCUUAACUCCCUUUAGUGGAGUUGGCCACCGCCUUUAGUGUGGGGUGAGAAGUCAAGGGUUCAAUCCUUGCCUCCAAUCAAAAAGUUGUCUCUUAAUGUGGCUUUGCUUAAAAUUCAUGUGGAUACUUUGCACCCGUAUGAUCCGAUGGUACCAUCGGUUUCCUGACCCUGUUGGGUCACCCCCCUCCCCCCUAGUAUAGGCUAGAUUAGGAUUAGAAGUAGGUCUAGAUAUAGAUGAUGAUAAGUGACAAAAAAAAAAAAAUGCCAUCCAUGAUAUCAAAUAAAUUAUUUUUGCCUUGGGUAAAUUUACUAAGGUCUAUGGUCACAACGAUCCUCCCAUUCAACUACUUUGGCCAUAUUGCCCCACCCACGUGCAAUGGGUUUCAAAGAUAAAAAUCUUUUAUCUAUUUUUUUAUAAACUCAUCUAGAUAACUCAAUAUGGGGAGUUUGACCAUCUGUUUUUCUUUUUUUUUUUCUUUCUUUUUCCUCAUUUUCUUUGAAAUUUCUCCUAUGUUUGUGAUGGAGAAUUUUCAAAACAAUGAAUCACAACGUCGUUUUUAUUGUUGUGUGUGCCGAAAUAUCAUGGAUGAGUGAAUGAAUGUGUCUCAUCAUGAACAGACACGAAUAUUCCUAUGAAUUUGCCAAUCAUACGAGUUGUAGAGGGAUUGGAUGAUGAAAUUAUGAUUCCAAUAAUCUUCUUGUUUCUCUUAGAAGAAAACACAAACUGUUGAACGCUUUUAGUAGAUUAAUUUUUGUUACUGUAAAAGGCAAUCAAUGAUCAAGCUCUUAGACACUUUCACACACAGAAGAUUAUGUAGAAUGGCCGCGUGAUCCCAUCCGGUUGCAUUACCCGAUGUACAAUCACUUCAUGUUAUUGUACUUGUAAAAAAAGUAAUUGUCAUGAAUAAAAUACUUCAUGCAUAUUUAAUACAAUAUUGUAAUAUAAUUGUACACAAACAAUUAAACAUGUAUAAUAAUCGGACCUAAUCAUACACAACACAGUAGCACCCGCCCUUGGUCGCAAAUUAAACCUUUUUGGAGAAAAUGCAUCUUGAGGUAAUGCGAUGUGCUCUAAAAUUUUUGGCCUAAAAUUUAAGGAUUGUUGGCAAUCAUACGAACUAAAUGUGUGCGAUAAUAGCAUGCCACGGCUUAUAAUUUAAUAGUGGAACAUGUUAAAUUGCUCGUCAAUCAAGUCUUAAAGUGAAUUUUUGUGCAAAAGAUCAUUAAUCACGACUUGACUUUACAACCAGAGUUUGUAAAGAUUUUUUUUUUUUUUUUUAAAAAGGUAGAAACUCAAGAUUCACGACUAAAUUGAACCAAAGAAUUGGACAUGUUACUUAAACAUUAUAAUUGACCCCAACAUUUUCGUUUAAUUAGAAUCAUUUGUUUAUGUCAGGUGUGAUGUGAGGUACGUACCUCAUUUUUUUUCUUUCUUUUUUAUCUGUUGUAGAUAAUAUCCUUUCACAAUUGCCUAGUGAUAGAAUUAUGAUGUAUCAUGCAUGCAUGGGAUGUCAAUGAUCGACUAAAAUAUUAAUAUAUUUAAGGCCGAUAGGCAACAGGUUUUGACAACUCUCUCUUACUCUUUUUGAGGGUUUUAUUUAAUCAGACAAUACCAACUUCGAUAAGUAAAUCUAGCAAUUAAUUUACAAGUCAAUUGCAUAUAUAUGAAGUUAGCAGUCUAUAAGAUUACAGAGAUUAUUGGGGAAGGAUUGGAUUAAAAUUUAAAGGGAAAUUUGCCAAAUUGGUCCCUAACAUUUACCAAAAACACUUUUUUAGUCCUUAACAUAUAAAAUCAGCCAAAAUGAUCCUUCACAUUUAAAUUAUGAGCCAAUUUGGUCCUAUUGCUCGUUUUUACUCAUUUCUCCGGCUAAAAAUAGCACGUCCCCCUCAUGUAGUCAUAUUUUUAGGGGCAAAACCGGCAAAUACAUUUCAUUACCGGUUGAAGGUAAAAGGAUAGGGGACCACCACCAAAAUACACAUUUCACCUUUGGCCCUCAAAUUACAGUUUGAAGAAACCCUAAUUGCAUCCCCAAAUUAACAAGCAUAACUUGGAAAUGUACUGCCGAUGAUGACGACGACAAACCUGUAGGGUGUGAUUGAGAAAAGAUUGAAGGUUUGGCCAAAAAAAUCGUGAAGAAAAUUAAGAGGGCAUGUACACACACACACACACACACACAGACACAAACAAGAUGCAAUGACGAUUCUGACCUUUCACAAAAAGCGGUAGCAUCGCCGUUCGGAAACCAUUCUUGUGGAAGUAGAAAACCAGCUCCAGUCGCCAACCCAGCAGAAGGGGGGUUGCAGAAUCUGGAACAAGACUGGACAUAAAUCGUGACGGUGCUUGUUUUGUGAGGUAGGGGGCAUGGAGUGGGAGGCAGACCAGAAAGAAUUGAAAGAAGCCGGAGCGGAGUUGCUGCCGGACGGGCGGGUUGGACUUCGGAUACAUGGAUGGGAGAUCGAGUCUUCCAAAGCUUCCAUCCUCAAAUCCCUCCAGCGCCAAGAGUAACUACCUCUCUCUAUCUCUUCUUCCCCUUCCCCCAACCAACAAAAACUCAGAUGCCUCACCCUACCCCCCUCCCCAAGUAUUACAACUAUUUUGUAAGUAUCUGAUUGCAGGUUUCCAAGAAGUCACAAUGAUGGGUUCCUUUCCACAAAGACAUCGCUCGUUUGGAUCCAUUUUACUCUUCAAAGGUCAGCUUCUUCUUCCCAAUUUCUUGCUAUUGUAUUUUCCCUCUUCAAUUUCAUGGGUUAGUGAGGUGAUUAGAUGAAGGAAAGAUGGCUUCUUUCGACCGGUAAUGAAAUGUGUUUCCAGUUUUGCCCCUAAAAAUAUGACCACGUGAGAGGGGCAUGCUAUUUUUAGCCGGAGAAAUGAGCAAAAACGAGCAAUAGGACCAAAUUGGCUCAUAAUUUAAAUGUGAAGGAUCAUUUUGACUGAUUUUAUAUGUUAAGGACUAAAAAAGUGUUUUUGGUAAAUGUUAGGGACCAAUUUGAAAAAUUUUCCAAAUUUAAAUGAUAAUAUGGGAGGAAUUAUAGGUAAGAGGUCCUGAAUUCAAAACUUCUCACCUAUAAAAAAAAAAAAAGAAUUAGAAAUAUUUGGAUACUGUAUUCUCGAUAAACACUAGCUAUCAAGACUUCACUUAAUGGAGAAAAUAAUAGAACUGGAGGCCUAAAAAUUAAAGAUCUUGGGUUAUAGUGCCACCAUGCUUAGUUGUAACCUAACAACUUUUUAGGAACAAAAACUCAGUGCAAUUGUGCUUUGUGAUUCCGUCUAGUGGUUGUACAUGUUUAAAUUUUGUGUACAAAUAUAUUAUAAUGUUGUAGUGAAUAUAUGUUAAAUAUUUUAUUCAUGUACACUAUUUUUAUUCUAAAUAUAAUAAUAUAAUGUAAUUAUACUCCAAAUAAUGUAAAAAGUAUAAUUAUACCAAACCCCAACCGAACUGACCCCUCGCCCACUUUUUAGUACUAGUCACACCUUUUUUUGGGGGCUUGUGGUGUUAGUAUUAGUACCCAUUCCUUCUUGGCUAGUGGAGCCGAUAUAUCUGGAUGCUUGAAAUUUAUUACCAGAAACAAAUGAGAAUUUAAAACAAAGAGAAAAUUAUUUAAAAUGUCUCUCACAUUUUAUCAAAUCAAUUUUUUCGUCAUUCACUUUUAAAAUAGUAAUUUUAGAUUACUUACAAAAUCAAAUCGAUAAAAUUUAGUUUCAACCUAGGCUUUCAAUUGCUUUGUAUCCUGAAUCCAUCACCUGACCUAUACAUACUCAUUUUUAUAGGGGCAAAAAAGUUAAAUCCCAUUUAUAGCUAAACAAAUAGCCCUACCCAUAGUCAUUUUUCUUCUAAAAAUGUAGGACAUAACCCAAACCAUAUUCAUUGUUUCUUCUAAAAAAGUGAGAUUUGACAUAAUUCAUAUUCAUUUUGCCACUAAAAAAGUGGGAUCUAACCAUUUUAUAUAUAAAGAAUGACUACAAGUUGAUCACGUAGUGAUUUCAGGUUUAAAAAUGAUUGAAAAUUUAGGUUGGGACUAAAAUGAUUGAAAAUUUAAGUUGGGACUAAAAUUUGCUAACUUAAAUUUGUAAGGGACACAUAAUUAACUUUUUAAAAGUACAUAACGAAAAAUCUAUUUGGCGAAAUGCGAGAGAUGUUUGAAUAAUUUUCCCUAAACCAAAAUAUCUAAUUUUCCAUAAUUCUUUUUAAGUGUAAGUGAGAGGGAUCGAGCCCCCUAAUUUGAUUAGUCACUUAAAACUGUCGCUUCCCUUCAAUUUAUUAGAGGAACAUUAAUUUGUAGCGGAUGAAUAGAAUUAUGACCGAGGGUGUUCAUAUUGGACGUUUAUGGUUUGUUCUUUUGAUAUCGGAAAUAAUUGUGAGAAGUACUUUGGUGAUUUCUUGAUUUCCAUAAGUAUCAACCUUGUUUUGCUUCAAAGCUUACAUUGUUUUCAAGUUUGGAUCUUCUAUGGAUGAAUAGUCACAUUUAAACGGAUACCAAUAUUGAAAAUCCUUUUAGCGCCAGCAAUCAUCUUAAUUUUGCAAUAAUUUACAUUAAGAGAGAACCCAACUGAAUCAUGUGAAAGUUGGAGAGAACUCUUCUGCAAUCUAAUAUGUAAUAUCACUACAAGAAAUUUGGCUUGUUAUGACGCCAAAAAUGGGCCGCAAAAAGUCCAAAAAGCGCCGCAAAAAAGUAUUUGCAACACUUUUGCGACACAAGUCCUUUGUGGCUCAAAAGUAGCCGUUACAAAAGAAAACAGCAGUAUUUUGCGAAGCGCCACAAGUAUUUACGACACAUAUUUGUGCCACAAAUGUGCACGAGGCACAAAAAUUUGCGUCACAAAAAGUUCAUGCAGCACAAAAUUUUGCACUGCAAAAGGUCUCUUUCAAGAUGAUAGAUGCACGGUAGUGUUUUACCAUUUUUAAUUAUUUUUUUGAAUUAUUUUUCAUGCUUUGAAUACCUUGCCCAUUCCUGUAUGUAAUUCAAUUCACCAUUUAAAUGGAAACAAUCCGCUCACCAUUUAAAUGGAAAUUAUCGCCGCAAAUUUUCAAAUUAAAAUUUCAUAUUCAUCAUCAUAAUCAAUUCUAAAAGGUACAAAUAGUUCCUAAUUUCUAAUUUCAACCAAUUUUGCAUAAGUCAUUACAUUUCAAUAUGAUUAUACCACGUUAUAACAAUUUUCGAUAUAAUCCAAGAAAAAACAUGCAUUUGUCAUUCCAAAUGAUUGAUUCCAACAGGUCAAUACAAUGUCUCUAAUCUCCUGCAACAAAACAAAAACAUUUAUUGUUAGUAAAACAAAUCAAUUCUGCAUUGCAUUAUCAAAGCAUUAAUUUCAACCGUCUCAAGCAUCUCCAUGGGAACAAGUAGUUAAGUCCUAUAUCAUUAUUUUAAGACUAUCAUAUUGUUCUAAUGACUCAAAGAAUUGAAGCCAAAUCACAUGUCAUGGCCACUCAUGCACUCAUACCUGUAAACAUGCAGUAUUAAUACCGAAGUCAAAGCUCCCGGUUCACUUCCUAGUGUUCCCUAUCAGAUCAAAUUUUCAUUUUGCUAAAACAUUCCCUAUCAAAUCAAAUGCACAACCACCAGAUUUUGGUUUCAAACAUGAGCCUGUAAUGCAGAAAUGAAAGUAAGAAUAAAGGUUGAACUCAAUUUAUAACAGAGUGACGAAUGCAAGCGAACAAAAGCAAAUCAAACCUCUUGACAGUCUCCAAGGGGCAUCACGAUAGAAAACGUUACAUCAGCAUAGGAUGACGUGGAAACUGCAAGCUUAAUAAAAGAAUAACAACCUGGACAUAAGUUUAGGAGCUAAUGCAGUCUACGUACCAUAUUCAUCAACAGGAGCAUAAAAAUAAUAGCCAGUGGCAAGUCUUUAAAUGGACGGUAAGAAUUGCAUCUUAGAAUUCAAUAAACCUGCACAAAAAAAAAGGAGAUAAGUAAUUUUCUUGUUACAAAACUUCAAGAAUUCUGUCAAACCAUCCAGGAGAAAGUAUGCAAUAUAUUACCAGCUAGUCCAGACUAACAUUCACAUCUUCAGUUUUUAAGGCUUCCUCGGGGGGAAGUGAAGGUCAUUGCAAGUAUUAAUCUGGGUACAAGUAACACAGGCAUUAACAAAAACUCUUACAAUUAAAGUUGAUCACAAUUGCCAAGAGUAGUAAUAUAUAUUCGGUAAUAAGGAAUCUUCUUCUAAGAUAAACUGAAGGUUAUAAUGAGAACCCCAACCAUUGAAUGAUUAUAUUUGUAGUCAAGGAAGAAAAUAGGAAAAAAUCCAUUGUCUGUUAUUGUUGCUUGGAUGGUUUUUACCAUUCCGAGCAUUUAAUCUCUUGUAUGAAUCGGCUGAAAUGCAAGCUAAGUCCAUCAUCUGUAGCCAAGAACCAACAAAACAUUACCCUUCAUGAACUAUCCCACUAGCACAGCAAACUAACAUGUUUAAUACUCCCAGAAUUAUAUUCAUGUAGAAACAAAAGACAGGAGAAAAAAUGACCAGGACAAGACCAGAACAAACAUCCUAGGCGAUCCCGAGCUCGGUUUCACUCCCUCCAUCCUAUUUUGAUAACUGUGAGCCUUUUAUAAACAGUAGAAGAUAGUUAUGUAUUGUGCAUAAUUGUAUGAUUUUGCCCAUAUUAGAAUUUAGUAACAAGUUUAAUUGGGCUUCCUUUCUCUAUAGGAUAAGAGUAAGGCACCGUUUGUGUUGAAGGAAUGGGAGGAAAAUGAAAGAAAAGGAAUUAGAGGGAUUUGAUUUUUGUUGUUUGGAUUGAUUUUUUGAGGAGGGAAAGGGAAGGAUAAAGAGGGAAAGGGAUGGAUAGGGUCUAGUUAUUUUAUUGAAUUAUGAGUUUUGCCGUCAAAUGGAUGAAAACGGAGGGAAGUGAAAUUAAAUUAAUUGAAAUAAUUUACAUUUUUUAAAGGGUUAUUAUCACUUUAUCCCCCCUAACUAUAUCACUACUUUCAAUUUACCACAUAACGUUAUCUUUUAGUCACUUUACUCCCAUAAGUAAUUCAACUCAACAUGUUAAGAAAUUUUUGACAAAAAUACCCUUUUAUUUUAUAGCAUUACUAUAUUGUUAUUAUCACUUUAUUCGAUUGGAUUAUAGUGAUACAAUCACUUUAGUUCUUAACAGUAUUUUCUAGGUAUUUUACCUCAUCAUUAAUCUAACUAGUAUGGUCAAAAAAUUUUAAAUAUAUUUACCCUUUUUUUAUAUAUAAUUAAAAAUAAAAAAGUUGUAAUGGCUAUUCUUUCUUUUUUUUUUACUUUAAGAGAUCGGAAAACAUAAAAAUAAACUUUCUCAACUUUCUUUUUUUCACACUUAUUAAUACUAGGAAAAGAAAAAGAGAUAGGAAAAAAGGAGACAAAAAAUUAGAUUUUACAAAAAAAAGGAAAUAAAGAAAAGCCUAGAAUUAUUGUAUUACUUUAAGGUUGUCGGGAUUAGAAUUGGAAUUUGGUUGUAAACAAAAAAGUAAAAUAAUUUUAAAAUAAUAAAAGUAUUUAAUUAUUUCUUAUUUGUAAUUUUUAAAAAAAAGAAUUGAGUUCUCUCUCUUCCCCUCCCCCUCUCCAUCUUUCUAUUUUUUUUCAAUAUUAAUAAGAUUGCCAAGAUGAAAGAAAUUAAUACUUUGACUUUUUUUCUUGAUACUAAAAGGAGAAGAGUCACUCUAAAUUUUUUAUUAUUUUUAUUAUGCAAAGAGGAAGAUAUUUUCUUCUAAAGUUUUUUAACUUGCUAAGUUGGUUUAAUGGUAGGAUAAAUUGCUUAAAAAUAACUCUAGGGGGUAAAUUGAUAAUGAGACUAUAUUUUAUGGGGGGUAAAGUGAUAAUAAUUUUAAGGGUUAAACAUAUCUUUUCACUUUAAUUAACAAACUCCGUUAAGUUUGACCGUUAGUUUUGGGGGUAAAGUGAUUAAAAGAUAACGUUAAGAGGGGAAUUGAUAGUAACACCGAACGUUAAAAGGGUAAAGUAAUAAUAACCUUUUUUUUUUUCAAUUCAGUAACAGUUGAUCUUUUCCUUUCCUUUUUUUUUUCUUCCUCAAUCUAAACAAAAUUCAGUAUUUCUUUUUUUUUUUUCCUUCCAUAUUUUAGCCAAACAAGAUGGACGAAAAUCAUCUUCCUCUACUGUCCUUUCUUUUCUCUUCCACCGGUAUCCUUUCCUUUCCUUCCUCUUCCUUUCCUUCAAUCAAAAUGGUGCCCAAAGUAGAUUUUCGACAUUAGAUAUGAAAAAAAUAUAACAAUGCACCGACAAUUUACACUGCUUCUCAUGAUGAAGUUAUAUUUGAUUAAACGUACUACUGCAUUUAUGGACGGGGAAAAGCAUUGAAAUUAAUGAGGAUAUGAUGCAGAAUAUGGUUGAGGCAGACUUACAGAUAUUAAAUGCGAAAUUAAAUCUUUUAUUUCUUUCAAUCCCGUUGUACUUAUACGUAAUUUUCCAAAAUUUAAAUACGGAUGCAUGGAAAAGAUGAAAUGGAAAAACACUGAUCAACGACAAACACUGAUAAUCCCUUGAAUAGAUGAAAUGGAAAAGAUGGUUUAAGUAAAUAACUUAAAUUUUAGGGGCCAGAAGCACUUCUUCAAUCAUCUUAUCCAGAUUCAAGUAGGAAGAUCCACCAUGUUUUAUUGCUUCUUCAGCUUUGUUCUUCCACUCCAAUGUCUUCUUCUUGAUUUCCUUGCCCUUUUCUCCCUCCAUUAAGUCUCUUACCACAUUCUCCACCUCUUUUCUGUUC